rnacentral:lncRNA from 1 species
UAAAUCAUCCCAACAAACAAAACACAAUUCCCCGCCCCUUUCCCUUUGCCAUUCUCCACCAUCAACUUGUUUCCUUCAUUGUUCUGUUUUUUUUUUUUGUUUCUCUUCCUUUCCGAUGGAGGAGCGCCACCUCCCUGAAACCUCCGGGAGCUUAUCCGUAACCUGCAACAACACAAUUCCUAAUUCAUCAUCCACCCUUCCAGAAUCGCCUUCUUCCUGCAACCUAGAACAAGUAGAUGGAUUCCUGCAACUGCUCUCCCAGCCCGACGCAGCAUUUAAUUCUGACCCCCUCCGAGUUCCUGACGCUGUGGAGUUGUUGUUCAAAUCUAUUGAGUCGUUUAUCAACAAGCACGAAGAUGCGAAAUGCGGCUCCAAAUUCGGCCAGGACGAGCACCAAGAUUCCUCGCUUGUGGCACAUUUGAACCGUCUCUCCAAGUUCGUCAAAAUCCUCGGCGAUUUCUCAACUACUUCCGAUUUUGAGCUUGCAUCCACAUUCAAUCGCGCCACCACGGUUCAGCACACGGCUAUGUGUUUCCUUGACAACGAGCUUCGCACCGUUCUCGACGCCACCUUCAAACGCUCCUCCUACGCCGGUGGUGCCGCUACUCCCAAUUCCCCUGCAUCGUCACUACCUUUCCGCCACGGCAAUCUGCAGGAACAAUCUCCGUCUUCUUCUUCCAAUCAACAUCAGGAGGCAGCAAAUCCAGCAGCGGCGGUUGAUCAGCAAUCAAAUGCCGACGAAGACGAUUUCCCAGGGUACCAGCCAGGAGACAUCUGCAACAUGAGCAGGAUUGUCGCCUGCAUGAUCUCAUCUGGUUACCAAAGCGAGUGUUGCCUGCUGUACGGAUCCAUCAGGAGGACAGCGCUCAAGAACAAACUAGAAAAGCUCGGUCAUGUCAAUGUAAGUGCUGAGGAUAUUAACAAGAUGGAAUGGGAAACCCUAGAAGGUGAAAUCGCUUCAAUAAUCGACAUUAUUAGGCGCUGCUCUUCCUUGCUAUUCUCUGCCGAGCGGAACCUCGGCAACGCUGUUUUCGCCAAUCACCCGUCCGUUUACGGGGACAUCUUCGCAAAUCUGGCUUCCUCGGUCAUGGAUCGCUUCUUCAAUUUCGCGCAAGCCAUUACCUUAACCAAAUGCUCUGCCGAGAAAUUGUUCAAAUUCCUUGACCUCUACGAGACGCUCCGUGAUUUAGGUCCUGAAAUUGAGCAUCUAUCUUCAAGCAAGAGCACAAGCAGUACUGGUGUGAAAUCAGAGAUGUACGAGACAAUAAUCCAAAUAGGUGAAGCCGCGGUAAGCAUGUUCUGCGAUUUGGAGAACUCAAUCCGGCGAGACAAUAGUCGGACGGCGGUGCCGAGUGGUACGGUACACCCUUUGACUCGAUAUACGAUGAACUAUCUGAAAUACGCAUGCGAGUACAAGGACGCUCUCGAGCAGGUCUUCCUGCACAAACAAAAAACAGAGGGUGCGUCCACUUGGGAACAAUCUACUACUACUGACGCCGACGGCGCUAACGAGGAUGGCACCCCGAAAACGUCUCCGUUUUCCGUCCAAUUGAACAUGGUGAUGGACUUGCUAGACGAAAACCUAGAGAUGAAAUCCAAUCUAUACAGAGAUCCAGCUCUUCGGCACAUUUUCAUGAUGAACAAUGGUAGGUAUAUCUUGCAGAAGAUCAAAAGCUCCCCUGAGAUCCACGAUAUGAUGGGGGCUACGUGGUGCCGUCGCCGGUCGUCGGAUCUGAGGAAGUACCAUAAGGGAUACACCAGGGAGACUUGGGGGAGAGUGUUGCAGUGUUUAAGGCACGAAGGUGUGCAGGUAAAUUACAUCAACUCUCAAAACUUAGUACCUAUAAUUUGUACUGUUAACUGAUUAAUACCUUUAUAUUUGUUGAAAUUAGGUAAAUGGGAAAAUCAUGAAGCAACUGUUGAAAGAUAGGUUCAAGUUGUUCAACAAUAUGAUAGAAGAGAUACACAAGACGCAAAGUACGUGGAUAGUGAGUGACGAGCAAUUGCAGUCCGAGAUAAGAGUGUCUGUAUCUGCGGUGGUGAUUCCAGCGUAUAGAUCCUUUUUAGGGAGGUUUCAACAGUACAUAACACAUGGAAGACAAACAGAAAAGUAUGUAAAGUACCAACCCGAAGAUAUUGAAAAUUUAAUUGAAGGGUUAUUCGAUGGAAAUCCCUCCAUAGCUAGGAAAAGAACUUAACCGAAUCAACCAAAUUGAGUAUAUACAUAUAUACACAAUACUCUUCAAUUUGUAAAGUGAUGAACAUAGUACUUUCCCUAUUUUUUCUCUUGCGAAUAACAAAUAUUCGUAUUCAUAAUUUAUGAGUAGUGUUGUUUAUUUUUAAGAAUUUGUUUGAUUCAUUUAAUUAUAUAGGUAAAUAUAUCAGAUGCCAUUUGAUUUUUAAGUUGUUUUAAUAACACUUGCAUGCAAUCACAUAUAGCGUGAUGCUCUUUGAAUCAAACAAUGACAUAGUAUGACUCUUGAUCUUAUAAUUUUUAUUCGUAAUGAUAGCAGAAGUUAAACAAAUGAUGUUUCCAAAUUUAUAAUUAAAUUGAUAAUUGGAAUUUUAUGAACACGACACAAAAUUUAUGUCGAAUUGAAGAAGAAUCAUCUUUUAUUUAUAAGCUCAUAUAAAUCAUUAAGCACAUUUUGUCUAUUAAAUCAAGCAUAACUACAAAUAUCAUGUAAAGAAUAAAUUAUAAUAAGUUAACUAGUCACGGUUUUAUUAUAAUAAAAUUAUAUAAAUCAAGUGACCAUAUGUUACAUUUUAAUAGGUAAAUGACCAAAAUGUUAAAUCUGUCUGCAAAGCAAAACACUUGUAACUUCACUCGCUAGUCGCUAGUCAGUAAUCACGCGAUCGAUUCUCCUAGUCAAAACUUUUCAAGGCGAAGGAAGGAAGAGAAGAAAACAAAAUGGAGGCCAGCCGGAAGAACAAAUUCGUCGCCGUCUUCCACAAUGCUAUGAUUCUCACUAUGGAUGGCGACCGGCGAGUCUUCAGAAACGGCGGAAUCGUUAUCGAACAGGAUGUUAUAAAAUCCAUCGGCCAGUCUUCCGAUAUUCUUUCUGAAUUCUCCUCCGUCGCUGACGAUAUCGUUGACUUCCACGGCCAAAUCCUACUUCCCGGUACUCACUCCAUCUUCCCACCCAGCUUAGCUCUUCUGCUUUUUCCCUUCCGUAUUUGAUCUGAGUUGUGUUAUGCCCGAGAGUAGGCUUCAUCAACACCCACGUCCACACAUCGCAGCAGCUCGGCCGAGGGAUAGCCGACGAUGUUGAUUUAGUAACUUGGUUGCACAAUCGAAUUUGGCCUUAUGAAUCCAGCAUGACCGAGCAAGAUUCAUAUAUCUCUACCCUGCUGUGCGGAAUCGAGCUCAUACACUCUGGAGUGGGCCUUCUCUUUCUCUAUACUAUUCUCUUCCUCUUUUUUCGAUGGACGAUCGAUGAAAUGUAUUAAGACUCUGUUAUUCUACUAGGUUACUUGCUUUGCUGAAGCAGGAGGGCAGCAUGUUUCGGGAAUGGCUCGAGCAGUUGAUAAGCUUGGUCUACGAGCAUGUUUAACUCAGUCAAUCAUGGACUCCGGCGAAGGACUACCUCCUUCUUGGGCCAAUCGAACUACUGAUGAUUGUAUACAGGUUAGGAAUAAAUUAGAGCUUAAUUGAUUAGAGUUGCUUAUCCUGGUCUUUAGAGUAAGUAGUGAUUCUAUUUCUUUUAUCCUUUUUUGGGCGAAUUUGAAAUGCAGUUUUGAUUUGUAAGCAUGAAGAAUAAUGUGACUCAAGUGUAUUUCCUCCCUUCAAUCUCAGUAUCAAAAACAGCUUCACCACAAGUACAAUAACACUGCUGAUGGGCGCAUUCGAGUGUGGUUUGGAAUUAGGCAAGUGAUGAAUUCAACUGAUCGCCUGCUCAUUGAAACAAGAGAUGCAGCUCGGGAUCUGAAAACUGGUAUCCACAUGGUAUUCAUCCCCUCCUUUUGUUUUCUUUAUCCUCAGCUUAGGUUAUUAGUCUGUGAAGAGCCAAUGCUCUAUGAACUGAAUGGUAGAGUUUGUACUUGACUUGUGAUACGUGACACUGGUUUUUGCACUAACCUUUUCUGUUUAUAGCACAUUGCAGAGAUACCAUAUGAAAAUCAAUUCGUGAAGGAUACACGGAAAGUUGAACAUGGAACUGUUACAUUCUUGGAAGGGAUAGAGUUCCUGCAGAAUAACCUACUUGCAGCCCAUAGUGUGUGGAUUGACAAUACAGAGGUGCGAUCCAUAAGGUUUCUUCUGGGCAGUUAGCGAAAUAAACCUGGUUGGCUUGUUGUUGUGAAGCUCAGUAGCUUUCAAUCAUGUUCUAAUGUCUUGCGGCCCUUUCUGUGAAUCCUUCAGAUUGGUUUCCUUGCAAAAGCUGGAGUCAAGGUGUCUCACUGCCCGGCUGCUGCAAUGCGAAUGCUUGGAUUUGCCCCAAUUAGAGAGAUGCUUCACUCAGGCAUUUGUGUCUCCUUGGGAACGGAUGGGGCUCCAUCUAAUAACAGAAUGAGCAUGGGUACUGCCCUACUUUUGGGGUCAUUUACUAUAGAAAUGUCGGUCUAGGCACACCAAAAAGAAACAGUGCCUUCUAGAGCUCGGCUUUGUGUGUUUUACUUGCAUUACGUGGGUCUGAUAAUUCUGCAUGUUUUUGCAGUUGAUGAAAUGUAUCUAGCUUCUUUGAUUAACAAAGGACGGGAAGUUCAUGCAAAAGGAACGACGGAUCCUACAGCUCUCCCAGCAGAAACAGUUCUUAGCAUGGCAACCAUAAACGGUGCCAAGACAGUACUUUGGGAUGAUGAGAUAGGAUCACUGGAGGUUGGGAAAAAGGUUAGUGUAUGAAAUGUUCCUCUGUUACUUUCACUCUUUGGUUCGGCUGUUCAUAGUGACAAGAAGUAUUUGAUUCGUUACUCGCAUUUCACCAGCAACCGGAAAUAUAAUCUCUCUGGUUUGUGCUGUUGGCCAGGCUGACUUAAUCGUGAUCAAUCCCAACUCUUGGUCUAUGGUUCCGACACAUGACAGGUACGAAAGUACCAGGCUCAGAGUUACCAACUUCCCAUUCAUGAGCCAAUGAUAGUUCCAAAUCUUGCCACUUGUGUUGACUGAUUGCUUUAACCUUCUCUCAGCAUUUCCAGCCUUGUAUAUAGCAUGAGAAGUGAGAAUAUCGUUUCAGUAAUGUGUAAUGGCAAGUGGAUUAUGAAGGACAAGAAGAUUGUGAAUGUAGACGAGGUAAUUUCUAGCAGGCAAACUGAAAAGAGCUACAGUCUAGCAAGAGUAGAAGAAGGGUCAUCAAUGUUUAAGCAAUUCUAAUUACAUUUGCAGGGAGAAGUAAUCGCCGCAGCGAAGGAAGCUUCUGCAAAGCUAUUGACUAGGGCAGGUAUCAGCUUACCAAACAGAAUGAAUGUCAUCUGAUUCUUGACAUUGAAGAUCCUCAAUCGUCUGUGGUGUCUCUACAUUUGCAGAGAAAGACAUAAGUUUCAUUAUGUAAUAAUACAAAGGAUUCCUUCUUUCCUGUAACUUGUGCUGCAAGAUUGUCUCAGAAGUUACAGGUAAGCUCCUGGAGCAUGAUGUCAAAGCUCAAAGCCAUUGUCCCUGGAAAACAUGCAUUCUUGUUUUACCCAUAAACCCAUUCUUUCUCUGUAUCUGACAGCUCCACUCAACUGGCUAUGUAGUUCACUGCUUCCUUAGCUCCAUUGUAUCCACAUUCCGGAAUCACGAACGGGAAAUCGCUGCCUCAAAAAAUAUGAAUGAACAUACCAUAGCAUCAUCCCAAAAAAUAUAUUUUGAGGUAGAAAGGGAUAACCAUGUUUAACCAUCAACUUCCCCACAUGAUACGGUUGGCACCAAAUCUGGAUACAACUUGGGACAGAAGGUGCGAUAAAUCAUCAUACGGAUGUUGAACUCUAGACAAUCCGAAAAGGGCGCUGAAUUUUACGUACACCUUCCAACAUAAAACUUAGCAUCUGUCACUACCAAAACCUUCAACGGCAUUCAAUUCAAUGGAAGGAACAUGAUCACAAUACUGAAGUCGAAGUCGUGUCAUUUUGUAGUGUUUCUUUACCUGUGGGAACCUGGAGAGGUUCAAAAGAUUGGAGAAGGCUACUUUUUCUUAAUCGUUUUCUGCACGACCAGGAUGCCAUUGAUAUAGUAACCAGCUCAUUGAUUACUUGAUGAGUUAAUUCUACUUACAUUGGAAGUUUGCAGAAACCCAAAUGGUCUAUCACUACUGGCGUGGAAUGAAAUUCCGUGCACAGCUGUUCGAUUUCUGAAAUAUGGAGAUUAAGACACUGCAAGACAGCAAGUGGUAUUUUACUAUUUUUACAACUGUCGGAAGAAAUAGGAUUUACCUUAAAGCACAUUAACCCAACGGGUACUCCAAGUUCGCCAGCCCGACACAACAACGCCUUCCCAACUUCAUUUGUCAUCUAUACAUAAUUAUCCAGGCAUCAGGCAUUAUUUCCAUCACACUCGAUAUAAUUUCAAUGAACCUGAUUAGAUCCUCACUGACAAGAACACAGUCAAGUUAACUUUUCACUAGAAGGCCACAGAUACGGAUUAAACCGCACAGCACGAUAACCAUCCCGGGAUGAACAAGUGAAGGGGAAGUGAUAAGAAGAAAGAACGUCUUUUCUAUCAUCCAACAUUGUAUAUGUACCUCUAGAACAAGCUGCUCAAGCUGCUUGAUUCCAGUUCCAUCUUCUGCAGGGUUUGCAAGGCAGCAGCCAACAAACUUGGUGGGAUACUUCUUCAAAACACUAUCAUAUAAGGCAACCAGGCAUAACUAGAGAUUCUUCAUUUUUUCCAUACUAAUUUGCCUAAUAAAAACGUUACGAAAUCUCGAAACAAGAGGAGGUUGUUGUGACCUCAAGAACACUAACCUAGUGAGUAAAGAAUGAUCAAAUUUGUGAUUAAUAGGCUGCACAGUGAGGGCGCCCUCCACACCAGCUUCUUCCAUGCACUUUUGAAACAAUCAGAAUGACUUAUUACACUAGGACAUUUCCCCAAACAGACAAAUCCAUUAAUCAUCAGGGACAUUCUAAUUACCUGGAGGAGGAAAUCUACAUGUCCAGGCAAAGUGGGUUCUUGGCCAGGAAAAUAAGGGUAUUUAUCUGCAGCCUUCACAAACCAAAAUUUAUGCUUAGAUGAUCAAGUAGAAAAAGAGUUCAAAAUGAAAGACCUAGUACCUCGUCAGGAGAUGCUCAAACGUGGAGAUGUGAAUCGAUGAUCUUCGAAGAGAGCUUUGUGCUUCCACUUUCAGCUUCAGUGUUGGUAGCCAUCGCUGCAGCGGGAGCAGGACGUACUUGAAUUGUUGAUGGGCUGUGGGGAAAGGGAAGCCAUGAUUGGCGAUGGCGAUGGAGUGCUGAUGCAGCUGAAACAGAAAGGAGCCUGGUUGCCAUAGUCGUAGUGAAGGUUAAGAAAAACAUAUUUGGUCAAUUAACUUUUGUACUCUGCACCAGUGGCCAGCUAAUUUUUCAUUUGUAAUGCAGUAGUCAUCUAUCUUUCAUCGAUGUAACAGAACAAUACCAUUCUCGCCGUAAACUAAAGACCAUACAACGUAUCCUCCUCUGCUUUUCCCACAUGCGUAUCCUCCUCUCAAUCCAAGAACCACCCAUUUUUCUGAUUUUAUCCAUCUCAAGACACAGAAGCAUUUGCAAGCAAGCAUCCAUCAUUUCCCUUACAGAAAGGAAAGUUGUCUUCUUUCUUCAGCUGAUGGUCAAAUAAAUACUGAAACGUCUCUGUACUUUACUUACACACCCACUUGCCAUCUCGAUUCGGAGAGACAAAUGGUCAAAUGGUCACCACAAAGUCAUUCAGUUUUGUUCAUAUCUAUCUAUCUAUCUAUCUACUUCAGUAGUUGCUAGAAUAGAACAAAGAGGCUUACGCACAGAAUCGGUUACGACUUGUUAAAGAGAUAAGACAGAGCAUGCCUCAACCUGCUCUCUUUUGGCUUUCUUAGAUGAAAGGUUGAACAGACCCAGAACAAAGAGGACGACUUUCUUUCUGAAUUGUACACCCAUUUUUUACUCACAAACCAUCGAUAACCAUGCAUGCAUCUUCAACCAUGAUAGUGUCGGGUGGGCGAAUCUAGAACAUUGCUAGGGUUCUUCGGUUAUUUUUAAAAGUUGAAGCUUUUGUCCAACAUAUCCGAUUUCGACCAGUGCACUUUCAAAUUAAUUCCAAAUUUAAAAUAAAGUGCCUGAUCAUCCGUUUUUAUGUGUAUUAAGCAAAUACCUCGAUUAAACGUGUCAACAUUCUAAUAGGCAAGGUCAGGUCCUCACAUGUACAGGACAAUUUAACACUCUUUUCUUAAAAACGACAUGCCACCUUAUCCUUUAACUCUAGUUAGUAGUUUUGUCUAGGUUCACCAUAGGAUAUCCGAUUAGCCUGGCUAGUUGUUGGUCAGAUACCGAUUUAUCUAAAUCCAUUACAGGGUGUCUGAUCAUCCUGGUUUGUUGUUGGCCAGGGACCAACUUGUCUAGAUACAUCAUAGAAUGUCCGAUCAUCCUAAUUUGUUAUUAGUCAAAGCCCAGAUGAACAGUUUGAGUUUGAAGCGAAGUUAGGAAGGUGGUGAUAUGGUAAAAUAUCAAACAUUAGAGGCCCCGGGGACCUUCUAGAUGUUCCCAAGAUGGGCAGCAAAGAUAUGGAUGGAACAACAAAAUCACUAGUACUAGAGGGACAAAUCAGUCACACCAACUCAUUAUUCAAAUAUCAAACAACAAACUUGAUUGCUGUAGUUUAAGGGAAAGUGUUUGGGAUCCACACUUUGUGUUGAAAAUUGCAUGCAUCUGUUCACAUCCAUUUUGGAGUCAAGUCAUAAUAGGUGGCUGAUUGGAAGGAGGGAUUUAAGAACGUUGGCUUUGAAACUGAAAGAAUUAAGACAUUAAAUGAACCAAAUCAGUUAAGGACUUAUUUGGUAUAAAGGAAAUUAGAAGAGUAUUGUGAAAAUUCAGAGUAACAAAAAAUUACUUGUUUGUUUAGUUUUAAUUGAUCAGUGUUUUACGAAAAUACUGUUCCUUUGAGCCCACAUUUCCUCUCAAAUGUGCAUUUUUCAAAUACAUGGAGUUGAUGAUGUUUUCUUCAAAACUCUGAGUUUUCGUAAACAAUGGAUAGAUAUUGUCAUUAUUACCCCCAACUUUCUUUACGGCUAUAACGACUAUAACAACNNNNNNNNNNNNNNNNNNNNNNNNNNNNNNNNNNNNNNNNNNNNNNNNNNNNNNNNNNNNNNNNNNNNNNNNNNNNNNNNNNNNNNNNNNNNNNNNNNNNNNNNNNNNNNNNNNNNNNNNNNNNNNNNNNNNNNNNNNNNNNNNNNNNNNNNNNNNNNNNNNNNNNNNNNNNNNNNNNNNNNNNNNNNNNNNNNNNNNNNNNNNNNNNNNNNNNNNNNNNNNNNNNNNNNNNNNNNNNNNNNNNNNNNNNNNNNNNNNNNNNNNNNNNNNNNNNNNNNNNNNNNNNNNNNNNNNNNNNNNNNNNNNNNNNNNNNNNNNNNNNNNNNNNNNNNNNNNNNNNNNNNNNNNNNNNNNNNNNNNNNNNNNNNNNNNNNNNNNNNNNNNNNNNNNNNNNNNNNNNNNNNNNNNNNNNNNNNNNNNNNNNNNNNNNNNNNNNNNNNNNNNNNNNNNNNNNNNNUAUAUUUUCCCCCACUCUCUAUUACUCCAUACUAAACAAGACCUAUGUCCAUGGAGAAAGAAUCCAAAAACAAUCCAUUCAACUUUAGUUUAUGAUUGAAUGAAGGGGUGAGAAAACGUAAAUCACCAUCCAGGGUUUUUCUAUUUUAAAGUAACAAAUCUUAUAUAAAAUUUUCAAAAUAGGAGUUUUUCAUCUAUUUUUUUGAAAUCCAUUCAGCUUUAGUCAAUGGAUGAAUCUUAGGCGAGCGAACUUAGGCCACCGUCCAGCGUCUUUUAGUAAGUGACAAAAUUAUAUAUAAGUUUUUCAAACUCACUAUAAACUUGAAAUCUUAUCAAAAAUUCUCCGACCACGUCGUGAUUCUACUAUUAACUUUAGCUCGAAGCGGACAAUAUAUAGUGUGCGAGAGUUGGUGGCCGCUUUCUGGCCAGCAGUGUCAAAGCAAGUUAAGUCCUUAUGAAAGCACCUUGUAAAUUUUGACGAUCCACCAGUGGUAUGAAGUUGUUACAUCCAUUUUCAUUCUCCUUUGACAAACUCUGAGCCCAACUCACACACACUCACCACUACCAACCCACUGUACAUAUCUGGAGGCAGGAUUGACGCGUGAUUGCCAUAAUUCUCAAUCAUGACAUUGCUGGAACCAAUUUACUUUCUUUUACCCAUUUUUCUUGGUUUCAUGUUGUGCUGUUUGUUAAGGAUCUAUGGUUUGUAAGCCAAUGUGAUCCAUGAAAACUUGAUAGCCUACAAAAAUUUGCUUACCUUUGAGUUAUUGUGAGUUUGUGUUCUAAGUGAUAAGUUGUUUGAAUUUCAGUACAGUUGUAAAUGGACACAUAAUUACAAAAAAAUUCAUUUUUCUUUGUAGAAGAAACCGAGUCAGAGUAGCAAAACAAAGAGUAGCAACUUUAACUUCAACUCGAAACAUCCACAGCCAGCCAAAUAAAGAAAAAAGGAAGCAACUUUAGCAGAUCAAAAUGGAGUCAAUGCACUUUUUUUGAAUAUUAAUUUGACAAACAGAGAGACAGACAGAGUGAAAGGACAGGGGAGGAUAAAAAAGGAAAAGUGAAAAACUUUUUGAGGUCAUCUUAAUUCUUCGUCACCUUCAUCUUCCCGCAACUGUUAUCAUCAUUCAUAUCGCAUCAUCAUCACCCAUCUAUUCUCUUGUCUAUCCUCUCUCCCCUGCAGCUCUUCUUAUCUUGUGCUUAUGGAACAACAACAACAACAACCAAAGGUCCCAAACCACCUUGAUGAUCCACACCAAAACAGCAACAACCCUCUUUCGGCAAUGAAAGACGUUCAAAUCACAUCACUUGUUCCAAACAGCAGUACAAAGAAGCAGCAGAGUUUAGGUCCGAAGAGGAGUUCGAACAAGGACAGGCACAAGAAAGUGGACGGAAGAGGGAGAAGGAUCAGGAUGCCAGCUUUAUGCGCCGCUAGGAUCUUCCAGCUGACUCGAGAAUUGGGUCACAAAUCCGACGGCGAGACCAUCCAGUGGCUUCUGAACCAAUCUGAGCCGUCCAUCAUUGCAGCCACCGGCACCGGGACAAUUCCGGCCUCUGCUCUUGCCGCUGCAGGGUCCUCUGUUUCUAAUUCGGAGAUGCAGGGGAGCUCUGUUUCUUUCUCUGCUGGGAACAAUUGGGCAGCCUUGAUGAAUGCCAAUUUGCAGAUCGCGAGAUCUAAUUUGACUGCUGGGAUUUGGCAACCUACUAAUAAUACUACUAUUCACGGUGGUGGGAUGGAAUUCCCGAAUAUAAAUGCCGGGUUGAUGAGCUUUUACUCUUCCAUGUUUAGUGGCGGGUCCGGUAAUAUUAGUCCGGGUUUGGAGCUGGGGCUUUCGCAAGAUGGAGGAUUGAACAAUUUGAACUCUCAAUUCUAUCAGCAGAUGGCUCAUAAUCAGCAACAACAGCAAAAGGAACAGUCUUCCGAUUCUCGUGGAUCCAGGCAGUAGAUACAUACAGUGUUAUUUAGAAAUUUUAGUGAAAGAGGAAAGCCUUUUUUUCUGAUUGAUUCAAGUCUCAUGAAGAAACAGGUGCGUGUGUGCGUGCGUAGGUUUCUGCGUUCUUCCUUCUUCUGGUUGCAAAUUUUGCAGGUGAUGAUGAAACAGAGUGAGAGAGAGAGAACGUUACGGUGGGUGAUUUAUGGUUUUGAGGAUUGGAUUUUUGUUUUGAGCUGUAUUUUUGUGUGUGUUUUUGUUUGUAUCCUACUAGAGUUUUCUUCAACAGUAUAGGAAACCCCUGGUUCCUGCCAUUUUGCUGAUCAGCAAGUUCUAUCACAAAAUAUCAAAUUAGAAGAAGCAGCUCCAGGAGGAGGAGGAGGAGGGUUGUCUCACUUUAAAAACCCCACCGUUUAAACUAGUGUGAGCCUUUGUUUCCUGGAAAAACCCCACCUUUGUUCUUCCCCCUACCUCUUUCCUCCCCUACCUCUUCCAUCUUCGAAAUGUUACAGAGAACUCCUUUGAUCUCCAUUUUCUUCCCCCUUCCUGUUUACACAAAAAUAUAGAGACAAAGAUCAAUAAAUUGUAACUCUCUCCUUUUAAUAAUUGCCACAACUUCCUUUCAUCUCCAUUGUUACAGAGAUCAGAAUUUUCAUCAGCGUUCUCGAUCUUUUCAGUCUUCACCCUCCAUUCUCCAUCUUUACUCUUCAUUCUCCAUCAUAAUUCAAGCUUAUGAAGUUACUGAUACAAACCCAAUAUGCACUUUCCAUAACAAAAAUCCUUUAUUGUUCUUUUUUUUUAAUUAAUUACUUAUAGCAACAAAGAAAUGGAUCUUUGAAUCAAACAUGAUUUUACAGAAGCUCAGUCUUAAACUUCAUAAAAAAACCUCAAGUCUUCAACUUAGGAGGAGGAGGAGGGUUAUUGGAAAGGAUUGGUAAUGAUUAUGGGCGGACAUGUAAUCAGCCAAUAUCACAUCUCAAACUACAAUUUCCUAUUUAUUUUCAUUUAAUAUUAAUAUCGUUUAAUAUCGUGAUAUCUCGAAUAUCAUGAUAUUUACAUACCAAACAACCCAUGUGUAGUUUGGUCUAAAGCGGACAACACAUACUAGUAUUGUGUUGUGGGUAGUGGUGGGAUCCUGAUAAGUAGCAUUAGAGUCUGGUUGGCAAGUAGGAAGAUGAAUCGUAGAAGUUGGACGCAUGUUAGUGUUGUUCGUAGUGGUGUGAUCUUGAUAAGUAGCAUUGGAGUCUGGUUGGCAAGUAGGAAGAUGGAUCGCAUAGCAUUGGAGUCAGGUUGGCAAGUAGGAAGAUGGAUCGCAAAAGUUGGACGCAUGUAAGAAAGCAUUUUAAGGUGCUCUCAAUCUUCCUGAUAUCGUGUGGUCACAGGCAGUGCUACUGUUGGUGUUAAUGUGCUAGAGUCGAGCUGCAGAGAACGCAAAAUGUGCAGGCUUUGAUUUGAGAGGAGGAUUGUUGAGAAUACAACCUAAGUACUACAUCGGUAUGAGACCUUUUAGAAGAAAUAAAAAACAAACUUAUUUUGAUUUGGCACAAUGCGGACAAUAUAAUACCAGUGGCGGUGCGAUGCUGACAGAAAUAUCAGGAGGAUCAUAAUAGAACACCAUCAUAUCCUCUUGUAAGAAGGACAAGUAUCAUUGAAUCGAUGAAAUGAAAUCCAGAACCGAUACAACAAAAAAAUGGCUCUGUUGCAGCUUCGACAGAACAGUGCCUCCUAAAAACAGCCAACAAAAAGCCACACUGCUCACUCUCUCAAGCUCUCUCUACCCCAAUACUCAACCACAACGACGACAGUCAUCAAUCAAAGCCGUUACACCAAAACCUACAACAACUAUCGACCAAUUGUCAGAACAAAACGAAACAAAAAUGGUGGGUUAAGAAUGUUUACCCCCGCAGAUCCAGAAACAGCGCAGUGAAGUUUUCUACCAGAAACCCUCACAGCGGAGGGCAAAAGAAUACACCUGCUGCUACUUCUCUACCCAAAACUAGGCCACAAAACUGCAAGACUAAUAUGCAUUCCUUCCUUUCAAAGUACUAGGGCAACUUUCUCUUGCGAAACUACCGCUGAUGGAUGGGCAAUCAGUGGUUCGUAGUGAUCAGCUCCGGCUACCGACCAUCCUGCGAACACAAUACCGAAUCGUAUUAGACUCCAAUCCACAAGUUUCAUAAUCAUCACUGCUUCUACUUUCUCCUAUGCAUCGCCAUUACCUGUUCCUUUCAUGAACAGAAAGAAGGGAGGCUGACAAAUUUCACUCCUUGGCCGGUGUGGCAGGAAGAACACACAAUUGUCUUCAUCUACCAUUGCAUCAGCUCCGUGUGCUUGAACCUGUUAAACAAAUUUAAUCCCAGAAUUAAGCUCACCCCAAUAAAAGAAUCUAACUUUCAAUUUCACAACCAACAUCAUUCAUCACAUACAAUCACAAGACACUCCAUCAAGCUAUAUCAAAUGGUAAACAUGAAGUGGAAUGUGGGUCUCUAACUCUCUUUACCGAAAUCAAGAAUGCAUUUUGGAAAUUGAUAACCAAACAAUUCCACAGUCAGCUAGCUUACCACGUAGAUCUCGCGCUUGAACUCGGUGGCAAGACACUCGAUUGCUAUAUCAUCACCAAAAGCAGCGGCAUGGCCUUCUCUGUUCUCUUCUACGGAUAACAAACCUUCAUCCGUGUAUUGCAAGGUAAUAAUAUCGUGUUCAUCCUCAGGUAAACCAGAGAUCGCCAUGUACUUUGCCCAACUCGGACCAUCAUCCACCGGAAUACACCUCUCUUUGUAAAUCGACUCAGCCGCCAGCGGUCUUCACAACAUAGGAAAACAAAAAGAGCACAAAUCAAAACCAAUAAAAUCUACGAUUUUUUUCCUCUUCGUUUUCUUUCAUUUCAGAGAAUCAAGGAAUGGGAACAAGAUUGAUCCAAGGAAGCAGUACCUUUGCAUCCCGAGCUGGAGGAGUUCAUCAAUCCCAGAAUCGAGAGCGGCGCGGUCUUCUUUCUUGGCCAAGAGCUUCACCUCCUGGACGAUGUGAAUCCCCCACCCAUUCUUCAGAUCCGGCGAGUACAUGUGCCGAAUCGCGUCGUUAAUCACGCCCUUCUUUUCCUCGGCGGCGGAUCCAAAGUCCUCCAAGAACCGAAGAACCGUCCGCCGCCGGAGCUCACGCGCGUCGACGUCACGCGCAGCACCCAUCGCCCUCUGCGACGCGGUGAAGAGGCAGUUGCCGUCGGACGAAACCUCGCCGCCGUGUGUGAGCCGGAACACCAUUGAUCUGUGCGGCAGGCAUGGGGAUCCGGAUGCGUUGUCCUCGUCGUCGGCGUUGGGGAGCUUCCAGAGUACACCCUUUGCGUGGAGGCGCUUCAAAUGGCGCCUCUGCUGGUCCUCGAGGCCAAUCACAUCGUCCCAUCCGCCGGUAACGGUGGUUGUGACGUAAGAUAUUGUCUGGUCGCCGAGAUCCACCGCGCCGGCGGCGUUGGGGUCUCUCCAAAGGACGACCGAUGAAGAGGUGUCAAAUAUGGUCUCCGCGACGGCAGUGGAAUCACAUAAUAACUUUCCCCCCAUUUGUCAAUUGGCCUUCCCCACCCCACAAAAUAGAAAUCGGAACAAUUAACCUUCUGAAUCAAUUUUCUCAACGGAGGGGAGAGGGGAAUUUUGUGAGACGAUGGCGAGGGAAAGAGAAAAAGAGACAGAGAAGAAAUGGAAAAGUUAGGUUUAAACGGAUAGAUGUACGGCGCGGGAUAAAGAUUAGACACGUGGCGCAAUCUAAGAGAGGCUGACCAAAGAUGUUGAUUGUAGUGGGGCGAGACCCACAAGAUAAGCAAAUAUUAGCCAGUCACUAUUAAUAAUAUAUUAUUCUCCACUAGAAAGAAAAAAGGUUUGCAGAAUUGCAGUUUGUUGUUGGCAACGGCAUCUUCCUGUCGCAAUAUGCUAGCCACCUCCUCCUCCUCCUCCUCCUGCUCCUCGGCCACGUCAGUUUCCGGUGAUAUUUUCCAUUCGCAUCUUAUUAUCCUAUGUUAUUAAUGAUACGUUUAUAUUGUACGUAAGUAUGAACGAGGCAGCAACGGUAAUAUUAAUGAUGAAAUUUAAUUCAUAUAUUUCUCACCGCCGUUUAGAAUAUUCAUCGGUAACGGCUAGUCGGCUACAACCACUCGGCGGACUUAGAAAAAAGGAAAAUCACCCCUCUAAAAGGAUAUUUGACUUUGACCACUAUUCUAGAAAGAAGAGAUUAUUUAUUCUUUUUUUCGCAGAUGUAAGAAUCGACUGUUUCAAAAUGACAGUAAUUUUUUUUUAUCAUAACUAGUGAAAAAAGCAAAAUAGUAAGGAAGCAACCACUAAGUGGGUAGUUUUAUUUGCAGAUUGUUGAGCAACCUAUAUAUGAAGUCGAGGGCGAGUGACUAGGGAGGUCAAGAUUUCUGAAUUGAUGCAUCGCUAUCCUCUUUAACGCCAGCACCGAUAAGCGAAUCGAAAGAGAAUGACUUUAGCAUUGCCCUUUAUGUCCACAUGUCAAAUACAUGUAGGAAACACCAAGCACAAACAUCACGAACAUCCACGAGGUCUCAGUAUGUUCGUAUCAUCGGCUGCAAGAGAUGAACAACCAAUGACCCGUAAUGGGCCAUGUUGGUGGGGAUAAGUUCGUACGGAAAAGCCCAAAGUGGACAAGCCUGUAUGGGAGAGCCCAAAGCGGCACAGAUGUCGAUAGAUUCACUCAAGAAGAGAGAAGAAGAGAGAAUGUAUAAGAGUGUCCAGUGCGGGGUGUAAUUAAAUUCGAACCCAGAACCUCUAAGUUAUCGAUCACACAACUAUGCCAACUGAACUAUCCCACAUAGAUAAAAAUAACUGUAAUUAAUUAUAUUAAGAAGGUGGUGGAACCAGGUUAAAUACCAUAUUUAGAUAUGAAUUUUUUUAUCGAUAAAAAUAAAAAAUAAAAAAUAAAUAUUGUAUGAAGUGUAAUAUAUAUAAUUGAAAUUCAAUAUUCUCAAGUCUUUAGCACACAACUCUACUACUAAAUGACUCUAAUUUUUUUUUAUUACGAAAUCUGCCAUCAGAAUAUAAUAAAGUUACUUUUUUUUGUAUUAGUAUUUUGACGGAACCGUCCUUUUAAGUUGCGAUCAACUAUCCGAUCGCAUUCAUACCAUGACACAGCGAUUUCGAAAAGUUUGUGACAAAAUCAUCGAAAUGAAAAGAGUAGCUGGCAUAUAAAUAAAUAUGGCGUUUAAACAAAUCUGGAAUGAAUAUUGAACGUGGGAAAUGUGAUGCCUUUAUUUGUAUGGACCAUAUUGGAUUGGAUGGAUACAAAUAUCCCAAGGAUCACGUACGUGGCUUUGCCACAACUCUCAUAUGAUUGUGGGCGUCCUCUGUUUCAUGCACUCGUUGUCUCGUACGUACUUGUCGCAAACCAUAUCAAUGUCGGCAGAUGCAGCUGACUAUAAAAAUCAAAGUUAAUGGAUAGUUAAUAGGUGUUCUAACUUAGUAGCUACCUUUGGGCCAGGUGAGCCCAGAGCUCAUAACUUGAUCCAGCCCAGAGUCAGAGGCCCCUAAAGAUUAAAGAAGAAGCAGCAGCAGUAGCUAAUACUAGUUGAGGGAUGAUGAUGACGAUGAUGAUGAAAUCACAUGAUUGAGCAAGCAAAGACAUUGUCGUCGUUGAAAACGAGGGAAGGAUGGACGGCCCCUUCUGAUCCUCUGGCUAGAAAAGGUUGAUGCGGAUGAGCAGUACAAAAACACACAUACUGAUCAUCUGGAGCAGGAGGAGCAGAAGGAGGAGGUUUCUCCACUUUAGGCGCCUCAGCUUUCCCUUUACUCUCUUCUAGUAAUUUCAACACCUCAACUUUCUUCCUUAAUUGCUUCCUCACCUUCUCAACCAAUCUCUCUGCAUCAAAGAACCCAAUCACCACUACCGUCGAACUCUCCAUUUCUGCUUCCACACUCACCACGCCUUCCAUCUUCCCCACUGUUCUCUCGAUGUCGUCUGCACAUCCUUGGCAGAACAUCAACACUUUGAGCACCACUGUCUUUAUCUUUGGCUGCAGUCAACAUCAAUUUAUACUGUUACAUAACCAUAUAUAUAUAUAUAUACAAGAUUUAAAUUAUAUUGUAAAAAUUGACCCACGCACCUCGGGCUUUGAUGGUGGCUGUUUCUUGUCUUGGAGUUGGGGCUUGGGUUUGGGUAUAGGUGAAAUCAACUCCACGUUUCUACUGUACUUGCUUUGCAGCCUAGCUAGCAACUUCAAUGAGUCGAGGUUGUUCCCGUUGGCUACUACUAUAUCAUUCUCCCUCUCGAUCGAAACAUCUUCCACUCCUGUGUCAAGGACGAUCAGAAUAGUAAAGAUAAAAAUAUACAGAGUCUUUGUUUUAUAUAAUUAUUAUUUACCGCCAAAUCCUGCUAGGCAUUUGUUGAUUUGUGUGACGCAUCCUUCGCAAUGAAUGAGAGCCUUGAAGAUGAUAUCUCCCUGGAAAUUGAGAACCACAGAUGAUGAUCAGUAGUGUAGAGUACUAACGUGCGAUCAGAUUGGAGUGGUUUAAUUACCUUUGCCAUGGCUUGGAAGGACGAUAGAAAAUCACAACAAUUAGGCGGUUAAUUUAACAAACAGGUUAGUAUCAGGGGUUUAAUGCUCACUACUACUGCAUUAUAUGCACCAAGUUUAAUAUUAAUCCUCCAUUUUAAUUUGUCUCUUCAAUUUCCCACUUAUCUUUGCAACUGAAGAGGGGAAACAUCAGUCUCUUCAUUUCCAAUUUAUUGUUCACUCGACCAUGGUGGUCUGCACUCUGCAAUAUGAUCUAUGAGAGUCUUUCCAACUAUGACUUAAUUCAUUCUCGAGUUUAGAGUUAUAAUAUUUUCUUUUUAAUUUUUUUUGGAUGAAUUAAUAUAUUUUUAUAUGCAGUUUAGUUAGUACAUUUUAAAUUCUCAAUUUUAAUUAGUAUAUUUUUAUAUGCAGUCAAAUAUGAUAGACCAUUUCAAAUCCACCGUACUAAGUAUUUUAGAUGCUAACUAGUAAUUGGUUUUGUUUUAUUAUGGACGUUACAAAAGAAAGGCCAAGGCUUGCGCCAAGCCACUAACCAAUUAAUAGCUUUAAAUUAAUUUUGGCUAUUAAGUAUUAACCCCAGUUUUGUUACAAUUAUCCAUCAUAUUAGUGAUGCCCUUGGUCCAUUGAAUGAUCAUUAAAAACCAAUGUAACUCCAUGCAUUUUGGUUAAUUAUCACACACUAACCGUUAUGUUUUUCUUUUGUUUUGUUUUUUUUUUAUAGGGAAAUUAUGUUUUUCUUUUGUUGGUAAAAGCCGAAAGGAGAAGAAGAUAGUUGGUACUUGGUGGUGUGAAGUACGCUUUUUAUGGCACUUCAAGUUGGGCCGAAACAAGAGCCCGCUAACCAAAGUCCAAAUUAAACGGGCCUGAAAUGAAGCAGAGUCCAGAUGUAUCAACCGAGCAAAAAACAAUAUUUUAGCUACGUAGGCAAAAAUCAGCAGGCCACGUGGAGAAAAGAGGAGAAACCUCCUAGGUCAGGUAGAAAAAUACGUGGCAGAAUGUCAGGACAACAAAGAGUUAAACACCAAACUUUGCGCUCUGCUCUCUGGCUCUGUAUAGAGAAUCAGAUUUCAUUCUAUCCUAGACUUUGCAUCCCCACCGAAACAAAUCCAAUCCACCUCUCGCUCGAUCUGCAGAAAAUAAUUACAAACAGAACUUCCAGUUUGUUGCGUCCUCUCAAAACCCAGAAAUUGAAAUAAAUGUCAGGGGUAUCUCUGGCGGUGGGGGCAGGGGAAACAACAGUACCCCAGCAAAAUCAACAAACGAUGAUGGGGGGAAUAAUGGGGUCCCUCCGUGUAAUAGAGCUACAACUAGUAGCCUUCAUAAUGGUAUUCUCACUCAGCGGCCUCGUCCCUCUCCUUGACUUGGUCUUCCCUCUCUUCGUAUCCGCUUACCUCCUCGCCCUUUCCCGCCUCGCCUUCCCUUCUUCCGGCAGAUUGGGGUCCACGUCAUCCUCCUCGGAGACGACGAUAUUUCACGGGAGCCGGAUUUUCAGGGCGUACGUCAUCCUGGGGACCACCAUCGGAUUGUUUCUUCCUCUGGCCUAUGUACUUGGCGGUUUCGCCAGGGGAGACAACAGCGCCGUGAAAUCGGCAACUCCUCAUUUGUUCUUGCUGUCGUGUCAAAUUCUCACCGAGAAUUUGGUCGGCGGGUUGGGAUUGUUCUCGCCGCCGGUCAGAGCGCUGGUUCCGUUGAUGUAUACUGUGAGGAGGGUGUUUGUGAUUCUUGAUUGGAUUCGCGAUGUUUGGAUCGACAAGACUCUCGCCCCUGAUGCCGACUUCGCGGUAUGUAUGCCUAAAAAUACAAAUGUAUUAUGAAAAUUUUGAUCAUAAAGUGGAAUAUAUAUUAAUUGAAUGCAGGAGGUGGGUUGGUAUUGGUUCGGGAAGGGAUUAGCGGUAGCGAAUAUGGGAUAUUUCUCAACGAACCUGCUCUGCUUUCUGAUCCCAAGGUUUCUACCGAGAGCAUUUGAGAAGUAUUUCAAUGAAAUGAGGGAUCAGGAGAUCCACUCCAAGAUGGCAGAGGAUAAGCGUUCCAGCAGCAAACUAUCUCAACAGCCGCCAGAGAAGAAGGCUGAUUAGACUAAUUAUUGUUUAGUUUGUAAUGUUUGUUUUUCAUACACUACACACAGUAGAAAAUCAUACGUCUUCCCAACCCCCGCCCACUUGAUCGAACAUGCGUCGCAUGUAGCUGCAGGACUCUGUUUUUCAACUGGUUUAUAAGUCUCUACGCACCUUUUCUCUUCCAGUUUCCUAUUUGUCUGAAGAUGUUGGGUUGUUUACGAUUAGUACUACUGUAAAUGGCAAGUCCCCUAGGCUAGGAGAUAUCUAAGAGUCCGACAUAUAUAUAAAUGGUAGUUCUAUUUACUAAACAUAUGACGAUUCGGGUCAAGUUCCACAUUAUCUUUGACCCCUGCUCAAGUCGAAAUCAUGGUUCAUAAGAGAAUUGAUAGAAUUCGUAUGGCACCUUAACUUUAACCUUCAAGCAAUAUGUGAAUUUUGCGGAUGUUCAGCAUGUAAUUAAGUUUGUGUUUAAAAAUACAGUAUAUUGUUGUUCAUGUCCAACUUGGUACAUUUCAAAUGGCCAUUUGAAAAUAUGAAGUUGCGAUUUGAACCAAAAUCCAAAAAUAACAUAAGUAUUUAUCUUUGCAUAUCAGCACAUCGAAUCACUGAACAUAUUCAACAUUAAACUUUUGCACAUUCGAUCGACAUGUUGUUACAUUAUAUUUUCUGUUUGGUUCUCUCUUCUAUUUUGAAUAAAAAUAAUAUAGACUUGUACAUAUACUGUUUCUUGGUUCUUGAAUGUGUAAAGCAAGCUGUCACAACUGGAUAUCCAUGCCCACUUUGUCCAAAACAUGACAAGAGGAUUAGGUAUUAAUAAGAUGGCUGCUAUAUAAGAAGGCAUCUAUAAUCAUACCACCUAAUAAUAAUAAUAUUGGUUUUUACCUUGAGAUAUUUUUUAGUUAACUUUAUCGCGCUGUAAAAUGGUAUGUGAUAUUCAAUAAUCAGGUAAAGUGAGAUUCAAAUAUUUUACAUUUCAUAAUACCCUACGACAUGACGAGUUUUCAUAAUAUAUCUUAAAAAUGUAUUGUGAGGGAGUAAUAAGGGUUGGUUGGACGGGUUGAUGAGUACUCUAAAACUGUAGCAAAUUAUUUUGAGUAUCUGCCGUUAGAGAAACAUACAGAAAGCUACAAGACAGUGAUCUAACUGCCACCAUGCAUCUCAAACAAGUAAAUAAAAACAGGACUGAUUAAUUAAUCCAGCUAGUUCAGUCAGUCACAUCCUCGUUAAUUGUUUCAUUAUUAUCAACUAAUGCUGAUAAUCCCCAUAUAUGCAUGUAGCAGUCAGAAGAAUGCCGGAAUUUUGAUUUAACAGAAAACAAACGCCACUGUCUCCCUCCUUCCAAAGGAGAAGUGGCCAUUCAUAUAUCCAGUUCCCAUUCUAAAUGAAGAUAAGAUCAGAUAACAGUGCAAGUCUUCAGUAGGUAGACAGACUGUAGCCGGAAGAGACAGUAAGUAACCUCUAAGCACUUAGUUAGUUACCAUACAAUACAAUGCAUGCAACCAAUUUGGAUGUCAUCCACUCCUCCAACUGUUUCUUAAUUUGGCUUCCUAGUUUCGGGUUCAGCUUAAAGUAACCUUUCUGAUUUUUUUAUGUACUAAAACUCAUACCGUAUCCAUAUGACCAUACCCGUAAAUUUUCGUGAGAUUUUUUGUUGUUAUCAUGUAAAAAAAAGCAUUAAAUUUUGAGGGCAACAUUCUCAAAUCGACAGAGAGCAAACAAUUUGGUUAUUCUACCUUUAGUCUAACUAUAAGAAAAAUAUAAAAUAGUUACCUAUUAUUUAUAAACACAAAAGAAUCUCAUUGUACAAAUAUUCUUAUAUGAAUACUUUGAUACUCGUCCCCUACAUCCUGGUUUUUUAGUCAGUACAACCCGGAUUACAGUUUGGAUUCAAACGAAAAACUAAAAAUCUUAUAAUGACGGUUAUUAUUGUCAUCCGCAAAGCUCUAAACCACCAAUUAUAUAUGAUCAUUUAAGAAAAUGAUCGGCACGUAAAUAUAAUUAGGAGCAUGUGAUACAGGAAACUGUGGAAAGGGUUAAGCAGAAAAGAGCCAAACGGCACUGUUUAACAGUCCAAUCCUUGUUCUUCUUCUUCUUCUUCAACAAGGUGGUCAAGUUGGGGCAUACUAAUGCAAGAAUGGAAAAAGUGUUAAGCCUACCUUUUAAUGCGUAUUCUAGCUUCAUGUUUGAUACCCACAACAAUGGGAUUCUUGACCCUAAGUUCGUACUAUAUCAUCCUUAAUUGGUCUAGUUAGGCUUUUACUCACUUUUGGGGUAUACCUACACUGCUAUCUGUUUCUGCAAAGACAACUGUUCCACUUGUGGGGGAAUGUUUCUUGUACAAAUGGUGGCCAUUUCUUGAUCACACAUUGGUAUCGAAUGAAUUUUAAGGUUUGUUACUUUUAGGGGGUGGUUUGUCUUCUGGUCUCUUCAUAUUGGUAGGACACUUGUAGAGAGUACAAUACCAAUAACAAUAACAUUCUCCCUUUUCCACAUGGUUGCAUCAAAUGAUUUGCACACCUUUGGAAUUUGGAUGCUCAUCAAACCUUUGAGAAGAAUCAAUCUUACAAAACUAGAUUAGUUCAUCCAAUGAGUUAUAAAACCUCUAGAGGUGGAGUUUGAGCUCAACGAGAAUCGGAGAUGAACAAGACAAUUUGAUCACCCACAAACAACCAACUCAAACAAUCUAUUUCGGGAAUAGCAAACCCGACCCAAUUUUAUUUUCUUCAUAUUUUUACGUAUCCAAUCUCUCCCCCAAAGGACCCCUAACUAACUAAGAAGAUCAUCAUCAUUCAUGCAUGCAAGUAUUGGUUUGCAAUGUUGUGAAUAUAAGGUUGCAUGAUAUGACAUGGAUAAAUGACUGUACAUGCAGCCUCCUCUUCUUGACUUUUCAACGACAAAUUCAAGAUGAUUUAAUGUAUUGGGCCAGAUUUUAUAAAAGUUAAAAUACAAUGACUCUUAUAUAAAAAUAUACUAAUCAAUCUAUAAAUAUAAGAAAACUUACAUAAUAUCGAAGUUCUAGAUCAUACUGUGAGCUGGAUCGUGACCCGAGAAGGCUGGAUCCGCGCGUAGUUGAGGAACACUAUAAUGUUCAACAACAUGGAGUAGUAAGCAUACUGCAAACCAUGAUGCUGAUAGUACAGUUGCUGGUCAGCGCUUCUAAGACGAGUUACGUGUCCAUGUCUAGCUUACAGAGCCAUGCAGAUCAGGUUCUCUUUGCAGCAUGCUUUCUGCGAGUCCAAACAAUCAGAUAAGAGUCGAAAUCAUACAACAAGACUACGUAUGACAGCAACCUGAAGGAAGGUCGGAUGUUCCAUUACCACUGAUUAAGAAACAGAUAAACUAUGUAAUCAAAUAUACUAAAUUAAAAUUAAGGUGAAACAACCAUAUCAACUGCAGAAUGAUUUGAUUAGAUAGGAUCUAUCCAAUGAUUUCCGUUUCCUUUUUUUUCUCUUGUUCCCCUCUUCUUCUGAGGACCCACAAUACCAUUUGGCCAUGUGAUUUGAACUUGACAACAAAGGUGACCAAACCCAAAUCUUUUGUAACCAUCUCUGUGUAUUUUCUCUUCGAACAUCCUUCUUCAGAGUUCCCUUUUGGAAAGUGAUGUGUUUAUGCAUCCAUCACAUUCUACCAACAGUUUCAGCCUCCUCUUCUUUGUUAUUAAUAAAUAAUUUACAAUUUUAUAGACAUUGGACAGUGUUUCAGGUUUUCUGAUCAGCAGGAGAAACAAAGAUGAAGGUGAAAGUCCCAAACUUCACUGUAUUUCCUUUGAAAAAAUGGAUGCACAACUUUCUUAACUUAUAAUUCCCUUUGUUGCAUUCAUUUUAGUUACUUGAUUGGAUGCACCGCAAGUUGCGGCAGAAUAGCAAUGAACAACCUCUCAAGGAUUUCUGCGUUGGUACUAUAAGAUCCUUUCUAUAUGUAUAUAUGGAUUUAUUACCUUUCUGGUAAUUUUCUUUUUUCUUUUGGAUGAACAUAUUUGAUAUUUCGUCCUGUGCAAAAACUUCAGGGCAAGCCUACAAUUGCCUUACGGCACAGCCAUCGAUCGAUGAGCAAGAGACCUUCCAAAAGAAAAACUAUGGGAACAGAACAUACAUGCAGUUCUCCCGGGAGAAUCUGCUGGGUAUGAAAGCUGAAUUAGGAGAAGGAGAUGAAGACUACUAUGCAGAUGAAAUGUCAGAGCUUUUCCAUGGGUUCCUAGCCAUUGGAACGCUUGGUUCCGACCCAACCGGCACCAAUCCACCAGCAACACCAACAUUUGCAAUUGGCUUGGAGAACAUUACGGAGCAAGAGAUUGAGGAUCAUGAAGCAACUGAGAAUGAGCUGAAACUGAUCAACGAUGAGCUUGAGAAGGUACUGAUAGCUCAGGAAAGCAGCUGGAACAAUGACAUUUCGGCAAGAAACAGCCACGUGAGUGGAGGGAGAAGCAGCCAAGGGAGCACGAUUACUCUGAGUGGGAAGGCAUUGUUUGAAGGGAGAGAGAGCAAUGCAGUUUGCCCUCUGCAAGAGUAUCUGUUUGGUUCUGCAGUGGAGAUUCCAGCGGAGACGACUACUGCUGUAAAGAAAGAGGGGAAUAGGACUUCACUUGGGGAGCUGUUCCAGAAGACUAAGCUGGCUGAGGAGAAUAAUGGUGGUGGAGGUAAAUGGGGGGAGAUGGGUGGUAGGGAAGAUGAGAAGCGGAAUCAUGAGAAGGAAGGAGAGAAGAAGCUUCUCCAUAUCCAGCUGAUGAAGAAGAUGCUUAAGAAGAAACUUCUCCAUGCUUGUUCCAGGAAUUCCAAUGAUUCCUCUGAUUAUGGAAAUUCAGCUGAGACCAAACUGCACAAGGUUGGUUCUCUAUAUAAUUUCUGCGGUAGCUGAAUCAUAGGAAAAGUUUGGCAUCUAGAAUCAUGAUUCAUAGGAAAGUUGAGUAGUGUAAUUUUCUUUCCCCAGCUGCUCAAGGGGAAAUUAAUUUUUCUUAGGAAUCCUUUAUAUCCAUUAACUCAACUAUCCUUCCACAGCUCCUCCCUGCCUCAACUCAAUUUUCGUAGGAAGCAUGAUUCUGGAUGCCUAACCUUACGAUAUAUACUAUAUUAUCUGACAUUUUAGUUUGCAGAUCAAGCGAAUGUUUUACAGGAAAGUUCAUCCGGAGAAUCUAGAACCAGGACAGGCAACACCAGCUGGGAAGAAAGGAACCAAAUCCGAGAAGAACAAGGAGAAAAAGAACAAGAAGAAGGGGCAGAACAUGAAUGAAGGAGGAGACGGAGUGGCGAAUGGAGUUCGAGGGAGUCAACCAAAUGCAGUGGAGUUUGGUAUGGACGACUUCGACUCCAACGGGAGCCGGGAAUGCUGGAUCAAGACAGAUGCACAGUGUAUGUAUAUGCUAUACUUGGUCUCUAAUUACUGACUGGGCUUAGGUCUGGAACUGAGUAUGAACAGAACUAAACAAUUAGAGUAGAAGUAUCCAUAUCAUUAUCCUGCAUUGUCCACACUAGAUAAUUGAUGAAACUAAAUCCGGCAUAUGAACAUGUAAACUCUUGUUUGCAGAUCUGGUGUUAGAGCUGUGAGGAGGAGAAGCAGGAGCCAGAUAAGAAUGGACUAAAUGGUUGUGUUUUUAAAAAAAGGUUGUGAUAGAGAACACUGGUAUACAUAAACUCUAUCAGAAGCAGUAAUUAACGGGGUGUAUUAGUUAUAAAUUUGCAGGAAGGAUAAGGAUGUGUCAGCAAUUAAAGUAUGGUUAUAUAUGAAUGAAUUGUAUGUUGGAAGUGGGUUUGAGUGAAUAAGAAGGGUUCCCUUCUUUCUCCCAGCGUCCUUUUGUAAUGCUAUUUCGACUGUACUGUGUGUAAUAUUGUGGGACAGAAGCUUUCUGUUUAUUAUUGUUAUUUUUUAUGAUGUCUUUUAUAAAACUAAAAACCAUACAUGACAUUGAAAUAACCAGUGAGAAUUCAAACAGCGAUAGUUUAAAAAGUAGACCUUUUUUCUCUUUCUGCUGCAACUGUGGCCAUAGUAGAACGGUAGAACCCACAUGAUCGCCAAAUUGACUGGGGACGAUGUCAUCAGCAGCAGAAACAGAAUCCUCCUCCUGCAUUACCAGCUCUCUCAUUCAUUGUCCAGAAGCCAGCACUGUUGAAUGCUGAAAUCUUGUAUUAUUACCAAAAACAUCUAACAACAAAAUUCUAGAAAAAAGAAAAGUGGUUAUUCAAUCAGUGGUGAUUAAACAGGAGCAAAAUCAGCAUCCAACGGCCAAAUUCUCUACACAAUAAAAAGGAUAAAGGUCAAGCUGCUGAGAUACGAUUGCUGGAGUGAAAAGCUGAAAGAUUUAACAAGCUCGGUAGUUGUGGUUUUCACUUACACUGAUGUGAGAGGCGUGAGGUUACCUGCUGAAGUCCUGAGCUUGGAAUGUCUGCCGACUUUUCUCUUCGCUGUGCUCAAGUGUUCGUCGAUGCAGUAACAGUUUGAUCUAAGAACUGCAAACAGACGCUUGAGAAAUUGAUCUUCCUGAAAAAUGGGCCCAAUCUCUGCCAGAAUCACUUGAGCCCAAUGCUAUGACGACGUGUUUAUACACUUGCCGUCUGCUACUUCAUGACUUUCUGAUUUUCUCACUGGAGAUCUCCUCCUCAUUUCAUCGAGGAACCCUAAUCUCUCUUCUUCCGUUCGUUCUCUAUGGAUAAAUCAUGCUGACUCCUUUCUUCAAGCACACUCUGAUGUCUGCCAAGGAAGUGAGUGAGUUCGAACUUCAGAAAGUGGUAAUCUUGACACCAAACAAUAAACCGAAACUGCAAACUUUCCAAGGAAGUGAUCAUCAAUGGCGAUUCUCCAGAAACCACCCUGCCUAAUGGAUGGAUAGAUGGUCCCAAUCAAAAUUGAACAUUUAAGCUGCUACCUAACUAACUCUUACCUCCUGAAAGCCACCGUUGAAGAUGCACAUUCAUACCUAGGUAUCAAACACUCCUUACCUCAAGUUGCUGCUUGUUAGACUGUAGAAGCCUUGACAUCCUGCUACUUGGAUCCCUACUAUUCUAAUGUUCUUCAUUACUGCUAAAUAUAUAUAUGCUUGCAAAUAUGGUGGCACAUUUUUGCAAGCAAGAGAAUUCCAUAGUUGUUUUAUAAUCAUUGCGUAGUUGCAAAUAAAACUUUGCUGACCAAUUCAUUUCGACAUGUCAGGUCGUCUGGCAUUGUAGAAGACACGAUUUUCUCCAAGGUAACCGUGUGCCCAUAACAAUGCCUUUCCAGGAUGGCUUUGCACUAAUUUUGCUUAAGCAUCAGUUUGCAGGUUCCUUCUAAUGUGAAAAUGAUAUGUUCACACUAGAGUACUUAACUAGUUAACUUGAAAAAAUAAGUGCCGACAGCACACUAUGGUUGUUGUUGACCUUUCCAGUUUUUCUUUCCAAUAGAUUUGGGCGUCGGCAGCUGGAAACUGUCCCACUUUAGUUAGCAGUCAUUGUUGUAAUUAGAAAGUUGAUGAGGAAGUGGGUAACUGAAGCUCGUCAGGAGAAAUUUGUGUCAAUAACAGCACAGCACGUAGUCCUUUGAUGGCCAUAGUUUGGUUCAGUUGAGGUGUUGAUAGGUGCUUUCCUUUAAUUUUGGUAUACCCAAAUUAGAACUUCAUUAGUUUUUCCUACCUACGCUCUGUUUUCUUUUCUUCUUAUGAACUAUGCGACGACUGCUGUCGGUUGCUAGUGGGAGAUAUUUUUAUGUCCCUUACAUGUUUUCGUUAUCUAGCAGGUUUGCAACGAACGUCAACCUAAUUUGGGUUGACUUUGGAGUACUAAACACUUUGGUAUUUGUACAGUCAAAAAUCCAGCAACCCAAAAAAGAGCACUUGUUGGUAAGUUCCAAUAACACCAGAGCUCAAGAUUCGAUGGUUGCUGUAACUAGAAAGGAACAAGAGGAACUAGAAGGAGAAGAAGACAGAAACAUGCUUAAUAUAAUAAGAAGACUGAUCUCAAAGUCAUAAGAAAUGAAGGGGCAAUGCAACGUGAAACACAAGAAACUCCUAGCUUACUACUACCAACUAUGGGUACCUCUCUUUUCUUUUCUUUUCUUUUUUUUGCUUCCUUCAGUUUCUCUUCUCUUCCAACAGUUGAAAGCAACAACACCCUGUCCUUUUCUUCACCACUCGUUUGUUUGGGUUGAAAAAUCAUCGGCUUUCCUCUCUGGUCACCAAAAAGCCUAAAAAGGGGAACAUUACCUAUUCCUUUCUCAGUCAUAUCAUCUCUUUCCUUUUCCAUUUCAAUUGCCAUUGCAUACACUUCUAAAGCACAGAAUACGUUAUCCACUUUCCCCAUCUCACUUGUAAUAGCUUCUUUCUAUUCUAUUAGUACUAGCUCACACCCCAAAGGCAAAAGACUCCAUACUGACGUCACUCUCUCCAUGUCCUCUAAACUAAAGAUAAAAUCUUGCAGCUUCUGCCUUCUUCUCUCAGGUACCCAUUUGACAUUUCCUGGAGCUAAAAUCUUGUAGAAUUGGUCCUCUGUCGUAUGCCCCCUGGAAUUUUACAUCUUGUGAUGGAUAGAAGGAGAGAUUUAUCAUUUCAGCAAGAAAUGAGAUGGCUGACUCCAUUAUGUACGAGCAUACUGACUUUUUGCAUUAAAAGUUUCACACUUUAUUGAGCAAGCUCAAUAACUGUUGCGGCCCCCCUCCUUCAAUUGCUUGUUCCUAUCAGAUUCUAUUACAAUUAAAUUUAUUCAGCUAAAAUUUUCAACAACCACCAAAGUCUGAAUGCAGAUUCUAAACAAUUUUCCCCCUUUUUUCCUUUGUGUGUUGGUAGUGUAAUGACUGUUUCAGGUGGACGGUUUGCCGAAGUAUUAGAAUGUUCCAUGGUUGUAACUUGAAGGAGCAUUUUGGUUCAGCUGGGAUUGGAGAACAAGGCAUCUCCCAGCUCCUAGUGCCUAGAAUCGCGGAAACAGUGAAUCAAAGUUCUAAUCUUUGCUCGGUAGAUUUAAAGCUUGGGAUGGAAUCUUCAUGUUCAGGACCAUCAAAGAAAGCCAAGUUGCCAACUAGUGGAUCUGGCCAACAAGUUCCCGUUUGCUUAGUCGAUGGAUGCAUUUCGGACCUUGGUGAAUGCAGAGACUAUCAUCGACGGCAUAAGGUGUGCGAGCUCCAUUCCAAAACUGCCAGAGUUUUCGUUAAAGGCCGGGAACAAAGAUUCUGCCAGCAGUGUAGCAGGUGAGAAAUUCCCCCCUUCCUUGCUUGAUAAUUGCUUGUGAUUAUUUGGUUACCAUUUUGAGUGAACCAUUGGCUAGGUUCCACUCAUUGGGAGAGUUUGAUGAAGGAAAACGGAGCUGCAGAAAACGUCUUGAUGGUCACAACAGAAGAAGGAGGAAGCCUCAGCACCCGGAUCCUCUAUCUCUCAGUUCUGCCAGGCUAUUCUGUGAUCACCAAGGUUCAUAUUUUUCCUCCUUUCAAUUUGAUUUUAUGCAUAUUAGCUAUAUGAAAUUUGGUUAGAUACUCCAAACCCAGGUAGGAACAUGUCAUGUUCUUUCAUAGAAACUACUAGUCCAACAUCAACAGAAAUAUUUUUACUUGUGAUCUUUCAUACUGCGUAGUUAUCCUUCCUGAUAGUUUUGUGGACGGGCUAGCUAUGAUAGCUAGUUCUGGAAUUUACGCCAACUCUUGAAAACAUGGCAGGCACCAGAUACUUGCAGUUUGGCAGCUCGCAGGUUUUCGCAACAAGUGCUGCAACUUCAGCUUGGGCCGAGACUGUGAAAGCUGAGAAUGAUAGCAUGCUCUACAGCAGCAGCAGCAACCAGUCCACACUGGACUUCAUAAACAACAAACGUCUUGUUCAUCCUGCAGCAUUGUCCCAGCACAAUUACAGAGGAAAACAGUUUCCUUUCUCACAAGGCACGACAAGCUCCCCAGUUCCUGGAGAUUCUCCUGGCUCAUGUCAGCAAGGUUUUCAAGUCAAUCCCACAUUAGGCAGCCAUGGAAGCAGUCACAAGAUGUUCUCCUCCAAUGGGACGAACCACGUGAUUGAUUCUGAUCGUGCUCUCUCUCUUCUGUCAUCUCUACCACCACUAUGUGAGGCUACUCCGGAGAUCGGUUCGAGUCACGUGGUCCAUCUACCAGGUCCAGGAGCAGCUCAAUCUUCAAUGCCGACAAAUUUGAGAUACCUUGGUAUGAAAACUGAACCAAUUGGAUCAGUUUUGGUCAGUAACAACAGCAGCCAUGAUGUUAGUAGUGGUCUCCAUCACCAGAACCAGGGGGGUUUGUUUCAGAUUGGACCUGAUGAUGGGUCGUCUGGAAGUGGGUCUCGUGACCACACUCUUUCUUUCUCUUUUCAGUAAAUACUAUGUUCAUGGUAGAAUUGCUUGUAUGAUUGUAUCAACUGCCUUUAUCAUUAGAUUUACCAUUCCUUCAUUCUAUAAGUCUCUGAAAUUGCAGAAUCCAACUUUAACAGUGGCCUAAUUUUGCUUCUAAAAUCUAAGAACCUCGCAAAUUGCAGACCUGGGAAAGAAAGGUACUAUUUUGUCACAACUACAUACGAAUAGUGAUCCUGAUUCCUGGCCUCUCUCUUUUAAAAGUAGCGAUUUAGUUAUGGUAAAAUUGAAUUAUUAGUUUUGAAUUGGGAGAAAGUGGAUUGAAUAUAAACUGAAGGAUCACUAUUGAUAAGCAAUACUAAAUACUCCCCUCAUUGUAGCUGAUGGGAUAGCUUCCCCUGAGGAUGGUUCGAUACUGAUAUGGAAUCAUAUCUGCAACACACGUUGAUCGAUGAUUCAUGAAGUUGACUACAGGUAAACGGUACCCAUUUGUUGUUUGCCCAUAGUUGACCGACUGAUUGACUACCCAACGUAUACAAGUCACAUAUAUAGCUUGUAACCAAAAGAAAGAUGUAGAAUGGGUAAUCAGUUAUCACUUUCCUUCACUUGGAAUGACGCAGUCAGGUAUCAAGUUAAGCGCUACUGUCCAUUUACAAUAACAACAGCAAACCAAUUUUCAUUUAUGUUUUUAUUGAUUAUUAACUGGUUGAAACAUUUGUUGUUGAAAAUUUAUCAUAUGAUUUACAAAAUACAAUGAUUUUCAUUUUUUUUUUCCGAAGCAAAUAUGAUGAUCAUAUUUCUGAAAAUAGGUAAGACCGUCAUGGAAUGUAUAGGAUGUCCAAAUCGGAGGUGCGGUCCUCACCAACGAGGCAACAUGAAUCGCGGAUCCUUACACAUGUAAAAAUCUCAAUCCUUUCUCUCCAAGAACAUACAUUUCAAAUGGGAAUCACUCAACGGAACAACAACAAAAAACAAAGAUAGGCCUAAGAAAUAAAAAAAAUAAAAUCAAGAAAUAAUCUGAAAAUAAAACAAGAAAAAUCCCUAGCAAAUAUAGAUGUAUCACAUCCUCAUUGAGAGCAGCUAAGGGAGACUAGGACCUUAGCCGUCUUGACAGCGCAUAAGUGUGAAUGAUCGGUACUCUGGGGUAGACCGGUUGCAGAUGAGGUGGAGCCUUGGCCGAGUUUUAUGGGUGAUUUCGAGAACCUGCCUUCAACUUCCGUCUCCCUUGGUUCGGAAGUUGUAAGAUCGCAUAUGUGAUGUUUCUUGGCAGAUGUAAUGGGUUGUGGCGGAAUCAUAAUUACGACGACUUCGGCAAUUGCGACUAGGGUUUCCAGAUGGGGGACUCUCCGUGAAAGUACAACUUUCUCUCCGAGAGAAAUCAAGUAGGCAACACCUGUAACAAGAAUCCAAAAAAAAAAUUCAAAAGACAAAGAAGAUCGCAAAAGUUGGAAACGACUACAACGACUAGAGUUUGACUCUCAUUGAGAGCUUUAUUUCAAAAGAGGAUACUCUCACUCAUUAUUUGUUCCUUGUUUUGACAAUGAUUUUCAUUUAGGUCUAUUGACCUGAAUUAUUUCUUAAGAAAUAAUAUAAAAAUAAAUUUGAAUUCACUCGAAUUAUUGAAAUUAAUAAUUUAUAACAUGAUAUCAGAACCUGAAAAGUUAGUGCUUGAUGAGAACAGUUAUAUCGUAAUGACUUGAUUUGUUUGUAAAAUUUCAUUAUUGUUAGCUUUGUAUAGCAUUUUUUAUAGCGCCAAUAUGCACACAUGACUUACUGAUGUGUACAAAUUUCUAAACUCUUAUGAGAUCGAAUUUUUAACCGAAUAAACUUGUUAAUAAGUAGUAUAAAACCAAUUUGAACCUUAUUACAACAAUUCGAAUUAUUAACACAUAUUUUUUUAGACAAAAUUAUUAGGACAUGUUAAUUCAUGACAAUGAUACAUUAUUGACCUGAAUAAUUUACAAAUAUGAUUUAUAUAAUUAUAUGCCUCAUUUUCCCUGGCUGAAGCUAAAGUGAAAAAAAAUUCUGAAACUGUUCAAAAUAUUCUGCCAACUCAAACCUCCUUGAUUGAUUGAUGGCUUGCAAACUUUGGUUGCAGUUGGGUGCAUAGGAUUGCCUUUUGUUUCUUCCUCGUACCUUCUGGGUUUUCCACUGCACCUUCCAAGAUCUCAAUCAGCAGUAGCUAGUAUAAAUCAAUUAAUUACCCUACUGAUCAUCUGUCCUUUUUUCUCCUUCCCUCCCUCCCUGCCGCCGGCGGAGGCGGCCACCGAGUAAGUUCUGUCUCAACAUUAUAGAAAACACAGCACAGAGAUGAGACAACAAGCAGCUGCCUGUCUACAUACGGAUAAUUAAUGAUAUCGAGUUUUUGGAUUUCGAGAUUUUUUGUAUUUUUUGGAACUUUUGGUUUCAUUGUAAUAAAAUCUCUACUUAUAAAAAAACCGAGUCACCAUAAAAAACCUGUAUGAAUUAAGGUUUGAGCGGGUUUUAAAGGUUGUUAUAAUAGUUCAACCACAUCAAACCAUGAGAUAAUUUGAUUGAAUUUUUAUAGCACAUUUGUCCAAUCUAGCGAGAGGUUUGAAGACAAAUUUGUUCUGAUCGAUCCUAGAAACACCGACUAACUUGAGUUUUCACGAUGAGCGAAGAAGUCAAUCGAUAUCCUUUGUCAAUAAUGAACCACUCCAUGCACAUAGUGUUGAAGGAAAAAAGAAGCUUAAUAAGUGAGUGUGUAUAUAUGUACGUGGUUACAUAUUACUUAAGACCCAAUUGAUGAGAAGUGGGCUACUAGAUGAUGAUAUGCCAUCAUUGCUCCACUUGCUUCCUCAACCCCACCAUUGCUACUUUGUUAGCCUCCUCCUCUUCAACCCCAUGCUUCUUUUUCUUUAAUAUGUGUCCAAUUUUCCAUGUAUUUAUUACUAGUUAUGAAAGAUCUAUAAUAGUUUUAACGUAUUUAGCUGAAUUGUAAAGAAGUCAAAAUUCACAUACACCAAUCAAUAUAUACCUGUAAUGACAAAUUAAUACAGUCUCAAAAUUUUAGAUCUGGAUCUGGGUUAAUUAGAUCACGGCCGAAGAAAUUGGAGGCUCGUAUAUGGUUGUAUCCAUCAAUGAUUACUUGCUAUAUGUGCUUACUCGGUCUCAAACUAGUACUGUCACGUACAGUUCGUACACUAUGGGCUAAAAUCAAGCGGUAUCGCCUAGUUAACCUCAUUACCUAAACCAAAUGAUAAAACGAGUUGUUGCCUUUAAAUAUAAUCGAUUCUUUUUUGUUGUUGGAAAAAUCGAUGCACAAAUCUAUGAAUGCUGUUGACCACGAAGUAACUUAGCCAACCCCCUAUCGAGUGAAGCUGGAUAGCUUAGCAUGGAUAACUUAGCCAACCCACUAAAUUUGAGUUUUUUUUCGGAUAAAUCGACAAGUAUUUCAUUACAUCUUGGAUGAAGCACACAUACAACGUACAUGUGGUAACUCGAGAGGUGUAGCCCAUAGAUGAAUUACAAAAGGAUUAUACCGAUCAAAGAUCAAUAUACCACGUCCAAAUUCCCCUCAAUACCAAAGCCAUCAAUAUCAAAAGUUUUAAAACUACCUCUACUGAUCAUCGCACUAACCACCGACUUGGCGAACCGCAACUCUAAAACGAAAGAAGAAAAUCAAAACAAGCAAACCAAAGGCUAAAUUGCCCAGAUCCGUACGAAAAGACAAGACAAAGAAAAGAAAGCAGUGGAGCUUGCUACACACCAGAUGAUAGAGAUGUUGCUGGAGUGAGAAGCUACUCCGCAACCGCCGAAUCGAGUUAUGUCGAUGGGCGGGUCCCAUUCAUGUGACAAGCCUGUAUCACCUGUGAGCUGCCGAGACCUUCCUCUUCGGUGAUUUGGAGAGGGAUAGUCCCUGGACUUGUACCGUAACCAGAUCCGGGUUUGCUUCCACGGUGGCCGUGUUUUCCGAUGCUAUGUGCGGCUCGUUCAGCUCCAUCACCACCGUUGCUGCUCCUGUGCGCGAUCCAGGAGUCCUAGGUGUCACCGGGCCGAUUUGGUUGCUGGGUUUGGGAGGCAUGAGGCAUCCAAUGGUCGAGGUGUGCGAUUUGCUUGGAGAGGUGGGUUGAUGGAUGUGUAUGGUGAGCGAGGUUUGAUAUGUAUGUGGGUGGGAGAGGUGAUGAGUAGCCGCUGCUCGAUAGGGACUUGCCAGAGCAAUUAGAAAUGUGAGGACAAAGAAGAAAGAAAAAAAAGAACGGCCGACUCGCGGCGAGGCCAAACCCAGAGCUGGGGAGGACAAACCCUAGCGCCAGGGGAAAUCAUCCACUGAAUUUGAGUUGAUGAUAUGCUUGUUCUCGAGAUGAUUCCCUCUGCUCAACGCUUCAAAAUUAUAAAUUAUAAAUUAUAAAAUUAGUUACCACCACAAUUACAAUUCAACCGUGAAUUGCAAUUCAACCCACCAUCAAAAAGUGAAUCUCUCUCCUUCCAGUAGGCACAUGGGUCCCAUUGUACAUAUAGAUUUUCAUCCAUGGCCCCAGUUUUACCAAUCCAAACUCGUUGGAUGGUUUAGUAACAGUAAUUCCUUCACCACAUAACUAGCAUUGAAAUCAGUCACUAUGAUUGGAGAGUUUACAAGGAGCUGGAGUGAAAGAAAUGCAUAUAUAUGAAAACAAAAUAGAGUGAGAGAGAGAGAGAGAGAGCUUACUAGCUAGUUCCUUUGCUUAGUGCGUCACCACCAAAGCCACAAAGAGGAAAAGGAACAAAUAGAUGGCAGCAGAGCUUUGCUCAACUUAGCUUAGCUUUGCUUUCUGGAGAGAGAGAGAUAAGAGAGAAAUAUGGGGAGAGGUAGAGUGGAACUGAAGAGGAUUGAAAACAAGAUCAACAGACAAGUAACGUUUGCAAAGAGAAGGAAUGGGCUGCUGAAGAAAGCUUAUGAGCUUUCCGUGCUUUGUGAUGCUGAGGUUGCUCUCAUCAUCUUCUCCAAUAGGGGAAAACUGUACGAGUUUUGCAGCAGUUCAAGGUACUCUCACCCUUCCUCAUUUUCAUCAAACUCAAUUAAAAAAAAAGAUCACUUCUUUCCCCCCUUUCUCUCAUUUGCAAAGAAAAACUCUGUCUGACUUGGUAGAUCUUGUGAUAUGAGUCCUCUCCUUUUUGGGGUUUGGAGAAGAAAAAAGAUAGAAAAGAAACAAGGGUUGAAUCAUAUGGGGUGGUCGAGGUUUUCCCUUUCAGUGAAUGUCUCGGCGUUUAUAGCAGGUUGAGUGUCUUGUGUGAAUAUGUCUCUUCUUCUUCUACUACUACUACUACCACUACUGUUUCAUAGACUCUCCAUUUUUGUCUUUCCAUUUUUCCUUCUUUUCUUCUUCUUCCCAAACUCGAUCUGAUUGGAUCGUAACCCCAAAGCUCACUAAUUGGUCGUUGGUUUUCCAAACGAAUCUCCUUUUCCUUCAUAUGUUCUUUCCCCCAUGAUAAAACUUUCAUCUUUAACUUCCGAGUUUCUGGAUCUCUUAGUUAUUAUUAGACAUCCUUUUGGUUGAAGAAAACCUUCUUGGUUCUAGGGUUUGCAUUUUUUUCAAAUAAAACCUUCUUUCUCCCCCUUUCUUAAUGAUGGACAUCUUACAGAAUAUACAGUACAAGUUUUGAGUCUCACAAGUAAAGAUGAUUUCUUUUCAAUCAAUCAAGCACCAGCUGGGGGUGAGACAUUUUGGCUGCGGUCUGCUAGUAUUCUUUGAACUUUCAGCUGGGCUUGCUCAGAAUCAUCUUAUGUUUCCACUGGAUCUUACUGAGCUUCUUCCUGUAAACUCUUUUUCAACACGUAAUCCCGUUUAUAUUUAGGGUUUUCAUCAUUUCUCCUCCGCACACAGUACUUCUUUCAGAUCUGAAAUUAUAUCUUGAUAAGAUGAAAUGAUGCACUCUGAAGACUGCAGUACUGGAGCUUCAAUGAUGUUUUUUAGCAAUCAAUCUAAUAUCCAUGGGGUAUUUUAAUUUCCCAUCUCCCCAGCUUGCUUGUACUUUUUAUCUUCUUAUGAAAAUGAAUUAUUUGACCGCAAUCUAAUCUAACUCAGGUUAUUAAAUGUUUUAUAUCAUAGUUUUUCACUCAUAACUCAGAUUAUUUCACAUCUUUUAAGACUUGGCGGUGUGUUGUGUUGAGCUUUUGUUUUGGAAUAGCAAGUCCAAUCACCUGGUGGUGAAUUUAAUAUUAUAUUCGCAUGAUUAAUGUGACUUAUGAUUCCAAAAGGGGCACCCAAAUCCCAAUUAGGCUCAAUUCGCAAAAUAAUAUAAUAUAUUCUCUCUAAAUAAAGAAUUGAUUUUUAUAUGGUUAAGAACCCACUUGGGAGUUGAGCCCUAAUUUCAGCAAUACAGUGAAAUUUAGGCAAAACACCCUUGCUUUGCAAAUAUGUGUUCCUUAUGUGUUCAUUUUAUCUGGAUUCAUAAUAGUGACUCUGUAUGUAUAAAUGAAUGAGUGUAGCAGCAUGCUGAAAACAUUGGAGAGGUACCAGAAAUCCAACUAUGGAGCACCUGAAUCCAAUCAUAUCUCAGCGAGGGAAGCCCUGGUAUGAACAAUCAAUUCCCCCUUACAUUGUUAUAUACUGCUUGGUAUACACAUGUUAUGACUCGCUUGGUGAUUUUGUUAUUUUGGGUCAAUUUGGUGCAGGAGAUAAGCAGCCAGCAGGAGUAUCUGAAGCUGAAAGCACGCUAUGAGGCCCUACAGAGGUCCCAAAGGUGAGCACUCUGAACAGUUGAUUAAUCUCACCAAUUCGACCUUAUAGAUCAGCCAUAAUAUUGUAUAUGCAGCAUGAUGAUUGACUACUCAUGGAUGCUUUGUUGGUAGGAACUUGUUGGGAGAAGACCUUGGCCCUCUUAGCACGAAAGAGCUCGAGUCACUCGAAAGGCAGCUUGACAUGUCUCUGAAGCAGAUCCGAUCAACUCGGGUAUGUAUAUGCUAUACAUGCAUUUAUGUUUUCCAUCAACAACAGACUCUCACUUGUGAUGGUUUUACUAAUGUUACAGACACAAUACAUGUUGGAUCAGCUCAAUGAUUUGCAGCGCAAGGUAAUGUAUAUUGCUACAGUACGUUUUUCCUUGGUAUUAUAGAUCAUAUCGUAUACUGAACUGUCUUUGGAAUCUCGCUGCAGGAAAACUUGCUGAAUGAAGCAAAUAACAACUUGAAACAAAGGGUAUUGUGUCAUUUUCUUACUUUGAUUUCUUUUCGAUCCAAGCUCGAGUUCCGUAUAUAAACAUAAAGUGUGUUUAUUUGCAGCUGAUGGAAGGGUACCAAAUAAACAAUACGCUACAGCUGAAUAGUGGUGCGGAAGAAGUUGAUUACGGGCGACACCAAGCUCAGCAGCAGCCACAGGGUCAUCAUCAUGGGUUCUUUCAUCCAUUGGACUGUGAACCAUCUUUGCAUAUUGGGUAUGUCUAUAUUCAAUCAUACUCCUAAGUGCCACUUUAUUAGCUAACUGUCUAAUAACUCUAGCUAGCUCCUAAUUCUACUGUUUGGCUGGCUGCAUGCUGUAUGAAUGGACAGAUACCACCAUGAGGAGCAGGAUCCAACAAUGACGGACUUAACAGUAGCAACAGCUGGGCCAAGUGCGAAUAACUACAUGCCAGGAUGGCUUCCAUGACACCAACCUUCAUUUCAUUGGAGCUGCAUGCUAAAAUUUCAUUGGAUAUUGUUCAAUGCAAUCAAUACUGUUUCUCAAUAUAUAAGAACUGUAGUAGUAUGUAAUGAUGCCUUAUCUUGUUAUAAUGUUGAUGCAUGAAAACAAGGUAAGCCAUUUGUGAUGUAAAAUGCAGGGAUCUAGAAAUUCUCGUGGCUUGUAAUGUGUUUAUGUGUGUGAGUACGUACAUAUGUACGUACGUGUAUGAUCGUCCUGUGGUUUCCUCACUACAAGGAUCCGCAUCGUCUGAUCUUUCUGUUAUAUUGAAAAAUAAUAUUAUAAUAAAUUUUGCUCUUUUUCUUGUUUCAUUUCAUUUUAGAACUUAUUUUAAAUAUCAUCAAUGGGAUUCUUCGAACACAAUCCAGAUAACCAUGUCCAGUAGUCAAGUUGACUCGGGUAAUCAUUUAAGUCAAUGUUUACACUAAAAUGGCAGGACAUAUAAUGGUGAAGAAAUAUUCGACACAAGCCAAGAUUUUAUAACUCGUGAGCGGUUUGGUUCGUCAACAACUCUAGUACGCAACAAGUCAACUACGGGGCAAGUCGAAGUAGAAUCGGACCGAAAACAGGUCGAACCAAAUUGAAGCAGAAAGUAAUAAUUCAGUAGAUCCAUUUGCGUUAAUGAACCGGGCUUGCGAGUAUUCUGCAGAAAGGUUGUAUUACUACCUUAUUGGACCUACUGGGUUGAGAUGGUGGGCCGAUUAGAGGCCCGAAAACUCUCAGGCGGAGAAUGGGACAGAUGCAUGCACCGUAAUCAGUCACAGACGGAGGCUAAAACGGCUUGUCGUAUUGGGGUUUGAACCUGUUUCAGGAUAUUUGAUGUUUACAAAAUUACAAGUCCUUCUUCUUCGCCGUUGUGGCAUGGAAGACACGUGCUCAUUUCUCACCCCCCUGUCUUUUACUUAGAACUAAAUCUCCGUCCCGGCUGGCUAGUAAAAUUCAAUUUAUUUUUUUCUUACUGUUGGUGUUAUCUCUUCACUUGUCGUUUGAAACUGCACACAAAAUAUCUGGCAUAUGCUGCCGAUAGCAGAAAUUAGGGCUACGAGUAGCUAGCUAGCUGGUAAUUAACAUCAGGAGGUGUAUUGAAAAAAUGGGGAGGAGAAAGAUGGAGCUGAAGCGAAUCGAAGACAAGAGCAGCCGGCAAGUAAGCUUCUCGAAAAGGAGGAAAGGAUUGAUGAAAAAGGCAAGAGAGAUCUCAAUCCUCUGCGAUGCCCAACUUGCCCUCCUCGUCUUCUCCUCCCACGGCAAGCUUUAUGAUUUCUCUAGCCACCACUCCAGGUAAUUAACCUUUUUUUUUCACUCUGUUUGUCUCUGUCUUUCCAUGGCCUUGUUAACUGUUGCUUCAUGCACUGAAUUUUGCUCUGUAAUUUCCUAGCUAGCUUCCGUCAUCUUUAAUUCUUCCCGUUUGUCCUUUUCCACUUCUGAAUUGUCGUUUCUACUUCCUAUCAUGCUUUCAUCGAUCGAAACCAGCUCAGAAUUGACGACAUGCACCUUUGAAUCCCCUAAUUUUGGCGCCAACAAAAUUGAUGACCUUGACGUAGAUUGAUUAGUUACUACUGGUUAUAUAGUAGCUACAUUUCAUCAUUACAUGCACAAUCACAAUCAUGUGUUUGUUGGUGACUAAUAAAAACAGUAACCAUCAAACAAAAUUUAUAUAUAAACAAUUUUUUAGCAACUCGAGUUAUUGCGAUAGAACGGUUAGAACGGUUCUCCGUGCGCUAUUAAUUGAAACCUCUCUUCGGCAUUGUGCCAACAUCAAUCUCCUUUCACACACUUGGGUUUUAAUUGCGUAUUAAACAAUGCUAUAUAAAUCAAUAAUUAUGAACCUCUAUUGAUAGCCGAAGUUAAUGGAAUGGAACAAUUAUCCUUCAAAUUUGUCGUUUAUGAUAGCUGAUGUUUCCUCAACUCUCAAGAGCAAGGAAGGUCUUUUCCUAAGUGUAUAGGUGGUUUGGAAAUCCCUCUCAAUACCAAUACAAUGGAGGUUAGAAAUGAGCCCAAACACCACGGGGUCGUUUGUGCGGUUGAAUUCAUAGAGUGUUUGGAUGUGUCAUUUUAGGUGAUUGUUGAGACUAGAAAAUUCAAAAAUGAAAUGAGAUGGAAUGAAUUCUCCCAAAAUCCCCUCCCCAAGCUAUUGAUUUCAAUAUGAGCUCAAAAUCUCAAGACUUCAAUUAUCUAAUGUUCUCCUGCAAUUAAUUGUAAUCCAAACAGUCUAUUUUAUGGUCCAAAUCUCCCAAAAUCUCUCAAAAUCUCCUAUUAUUUUCACCUACACAAACAAGGCCCAAAAGGUUGUUCCUUGUUUGGCAAUGUGGACAACAAACAACUUAUCUACUACUCCUUUCUUCAUCUCAAAAUUUUAUUGUCAUACAAUGUCAUACAAAACAAUUUUAUCAAGAAAGUAGGGCAUAACCAUGCCAAAAAAAGUUACAAUGUCAUACAAACGUCAAGAGAUAGUGUUUUACAAUGGUUAUAGAAUCCUAAGAAAGUGUUGUAUUCUUUACGGGCUUUGUACCUAGUUGUCUACAAAGGUGUUCGAUAGACUCCGCGACCAUUUGGCAAAGCUACCAUGAGGGCUUAGCUUAUGCCACAAUGAGCGAUGAAAAAGAAGAGUACCUGCUUUCCUAUAAUGAUGACCCCAUAACCAGCUACAAAAGGUCAUUUUGAGAUAGAGUCGUAUCUCCAAAGGAUUUCCUAAUGAAAAUGACACUAAGGCGAUGAAUUCUGUUAUAUGUUGGUUGCCAUAAUCAUGUCAUUAGCGUUGAUUCAUAUGGUUGCUCCAUAGAGGGGCUCGUACCGCAUAAAAGCAACUUGGUCCUUGCUUUCCGUAUUGGCCAUAAGUUGAUAAUAACGGUAGUGGUAUUCCUUAAGGGUCCAAAUUCUUUUCCUUUUCCGCCAUUGCAAAAAAAAAUUGUGGGCACCAAAGUUCGAACUCAUGGCAUGGUGAAAUAGGCCCAUGACAUAAAGGUCAUAAUAUAUGGUGGAAUUUGUUGUAGCUAGCAUCGAUUCAAGCAUCGUUGCUUGACCUCCGUGCGAGAAUGUCAUACUUUUCCAUGAUAGUCCUACACUCCUAGCUUCUCCAUUCUCUUGAUAAGGAAGGACAAGACUUUCUUCUUAGUUCUGCCCCCACUUCGAAGGGAUCUCCAAAUAUUUUUCAUUAAGGGAAGUGUCUUGGAAACCCAUGCAUUCGCCCAAGCUUGAAGAGGGGAGGGGUGUUCUUAGCUUGCUAAAGAAAACAUUCGAUUUUCGGUUAUAUAUAUUAGUGUUGGACAUCUUCUCGUACGUGUUCAUGGUUUUGAUGAUAUUUCUUUCUUGUGCCACAAUAGCUUGAACGAAGAGGGUAUCGUCUCUACAAAGAACAAUGAGUGAGAAUAGCUAAGGCAUCUCCUAUUGAGCUCAGGGCCUUCACCACAUUCGUUUCCACCUCUCUUUAGAUGAGGAAAGAGAGGACAUUAGUGAGGUUGUUGAAGAGGAAGGGGAAUAGGGGAUCACAGUGUGAGCGUAUUCACGAAUCAAUUUACACCAUUGCGGACAAUAACAUAGCUCUGAUGGCCUAAUCUUGCUAUGCUUACUUUUUGGUGUAUUGAACUUAAUUAAACAAUCUCCACCACUACCCUACCAACAGAGCUUCUCUCUUUCUUUCUCUUCUUAAACAAUCCCAUUCCCCGCUCUUUUUCUUAAUUUAAUCCCAACCCAAAACUUCUCAAUUCCCAUAUGUUGAAUCCUUUGCUAGUUUGGAUAAAUAAUUGCUACAAUCUUUUAAACUAUGAAAUUAUAUUGUGGUUAAUUGUAGAUAUUGUUUUAUCAAUUAUUGUAUGAAUUUGAAGUUUUAUAUGAAUGAUUUUAGUUUGUCUUAGAGUUGACUUUUUAUUCUUUUGUCGAUUUUUUUAUGCUACAAAUUUUGAACCCCAUUAGACCAUUUUUCUAGCUCUGUCACUGCUUAGCUAUGUCAUGCUAUAUAUAUGUUCCUGAUAUAGUGAUAUAUUUUCUCUUAACUUUUUUCUUCUGUGUUAACCCUUUUAGACCUUUUUAAUUAAGGCUUGAAUGUUUAUACCAUAUCUAAAAUUUUCUGUGCAAACCCUUAUGGUACAGCUUGACAAAGAUUCUAAAGCGAUAUAGGAAUCGUACAGAAGCCGGAUCUUCUAAAGGCGCGACUAAUGUGGAGGUAAAAGGUUAUUCAUCUGACUUUGAUGGGAUGAGCAAUGUUAUUGGAUUAACUAGUCAUCUGAUUAUAUUUACUACCUACACAGGGUAGCAAUGAUGAAGCUGCAGGAAUCUCUCCAACUACACUACUGCAAAUUGUCCAGAGGUAAGUACUGUUCUUCCCUCUGGCACUUGUUCUGACAUACUACUAGUUAUUGGUCAUUGCUACAUGCAGGUAUGUUGUUGAUCGAGAUCCAGCUGACGACCAACAGCUGACCGUGGAUGAGCUUGUACAGUUAGAAUACCAACUUGGCAUGGCACUAACUCAUAUAAGAGCAAGGAAGGUUGGUUUUUCCACAUUGUAAAUCCAUCAAUUGGAAUCGAAUUUCUUCAUUAAUUCCCCUGCCUCUUAAUAAAAUUUGCAACUUUAAACUAUGGCUGAGCUAGAAAUGUCAGGUUAGACUAAUGAGUUUCAAUGGAGGUAGCCUAAAUAACUAGAUUAGCAUUGUGGCUACUCAUCCUUUUCUGUCCCACUUGCGCACUUGUCUGCAUUGCCUAAAGCAUUGCAGUACAGUAGAGAGUUGAUUUAUGUAAGAGGUUGGUUGGUUUGGCUGACGCAACUGGAGUUGGAGACCCUAAAGACACUCCAGGAAAAGGUAUCCAUUCCAGACAUAACAACAUAUGCAACAAUCAAUGGGGUAAUUACUGACUGGUUUCUUGAUGUCACUCUCCUGGUAGGAACUGGAGCUAAAACGGGAAAAUGAGGUCCUGAAGGAACAGGUAAGAGAUCUUGGACUAUAUAAACAGAUGAUUAUGCCAGCAGUCUCUAGUCCUAAACACCUUUAUAUGUGAGUAGUUUGCUGAUUAAGCUGGGUGAAAUGGGAAAUGUACUACUUACAGAUUGCAGCAGCUGUUGAUGGUGGUAGUGGGGAUGAUGAUGAUGAUAACAAUACAGCUAUAGAAACCAUUAGAGGUUCUGAUAGUUAUUCGGGUGGACCUCCAACUCUACGGCUACUUCAAUAGGCGAGCCACACUCGCUGUUCCAUUUGCAACGCCCAUACAUACCAAAUUCACAUGUCAUCUCUUUCUCCUUCUGCUGCUGCUGCUGCUUUGGUGGCUAACCAAUGCAAUAAGCCAAUUCGGCUGAUCAAAUCAAAAAGUAUUUAUUGUUUUUAUUAUUCUUCCAGUUAACUGUAUCAAUUACAUCAUGUACCAUCUGACGACCUAAAUGAUGAACACAGACUCCUUGGUAUUGGAAAUGUAAUUGUGAUGUAAUAGGUACGUACCUGAUCACUAUUCCGGCCCGGUGUAUUUAGGUAAAGCACCGUCGGAAAUAACAGUACUGCCGUCGACGAGAACAGAGGGAGAGAGAGAGAUAUAGGUAGCUUGUUGUCGAUAGACAUGGCUGGUUUUUCCAUUUCCUCCCUCCUUGGGAAACCAUCCAUCUUCCUACAGUGUGGGCGGGCCGCCCAAUCAAGCAAGGACCUAUUAACCAACCUCAAAGGCCAAAACAAAAAAUCACUUUGCGGCUUUUCUCUGUGGGCCCCAUCUAGCAACCCUGGUUCCAUGCCACGUGUCCCUCGCGAAAAUUUAUACUCCCUAUUUGGAAGAAACGGGAAAAUGAAUUUUCACAAUCGCCUGGACUCCGAUGAAACUGUGAGCGUGAGCCCGUAAACCAAUCUGGGCCUCGAAGCCUAAACAUUUGGGCCUUGAGGCCGAAACAUAUGGGCCUAAAGCUGGUGCCUAAUGCAUUGAAUUUGUAUAUGAUCACAAAGGACAGACGUAAUGCUGCUUCACAACGCAUCAAUAAACAUAGCGUUUCCGUGGUAAUGUUUGUUACGGCGAGAAUCUCACGAUGCAACAUGUCUCUUUCUACUAUGAGUUUAUUCUAAUGAUCUAUAUAAUUAUAUUUAACCUGAGUGAUUCGAGUUUUAAAUCUUAAUUACAUCAACCGUAUAACAUUAUAUGAUACGAGUUUAGUGAAAAUGUCGUCGUCCGAAAUUCAAUUCUGAAAGCUAAGUAUGUUUAUAUGAUUAGACAAUCAGUAGUCGCGUUGAAAUAAACAAGAGAAGACAAGAACAGAUCCAACAGUGAGGAUGACUUGUCGCCAAAUGCAAGUACCAACCCUAGACAAACAACCUCACACAUCCCACGCCUGAACAAUGAACUUUAUGGAAUUGUAGACAUGGAUACAUCACACAUGUAACACGCGAAACGUGCGACUUUCACAAUAACAGUGGGACAUUACAAUAAUAACCACAUUAAUAAAUUCAUUAACUAGUAAUGAUGGGAGACAUUUAAAGGGAGAGGCCGAUGGAGACAGCUCUUUUGACUUUAAUGCCCUCAGCUAUACAAAAAAUAUUUAAGAUUAAUUAGGUGUAGUCGGAGGUAGACAGAUUUGGCGCCGCUGGCUAAGUUUGGACCAUAAAUUUCAAUGCUUAAAGAACAGCCAUCUCGUAGCUACGCAUUUACCCUUCCAAGACAAGCGAGCCCAGGAGUCCUGUCCUCUAAUUUACCAGACCCUUCAAGUUGACAACACGAUUUACAGAAUAAUUUUUUGUGAAUUGUGAAUAAAUGUUUACACGUGAAAGUAACAUGAGAUUAAUAAAAUAAGAAUUAUGUAAAUAAUUAUACUAUAUUAGAGUAACACCAAACUAACAACAUAUGAGUAAAUGAAUAAUUAUUUAUUUCAUCUAUAAUAACGUUGGAAUAAUAUGCGAGUUAUAAUAAACUAAAACAAAAUUAAUAUUUGAAUAAUAAAACAACAGUUAACAAUUUAAUAAUGACGGAAACUAACUAAAUAACAAGAGCAGUAAAUGUACUGAAUCAAUUUUGAUCCGUAAAAUGUGACAAUUAAGUAUAAAUUUUUUACCCCAUUGACGUUAUGGUUGUUUUGUUUUGGUUGUGAGUUCAACGGUGNNNNNNNNNNNNNNNNNNNNNNNNNCCGUUGACGUUAUGGUUGUUUUGUGUUGGUUGUGAGUUCAACGGUGGAUCUAAAAUGAUUUAAUACACUCCAUCGAAUCGUAUAAAGUUGAAAAUACACUAAACCAUAUAAAAAAUUAUUAAUUUUUCUCAAAAUACAAAAAAAAUAUAUAAUAAUAAAACUCAAAAAUUUAAAAAUACACUAUAUUAUAAUUUAAAAAUUUAAAAGAGACUCAAUAAGUCAGUUUUUAAUGAUUUGAUUUUGAGCCACCUCAUUCUUUAUGUUAACGAGUUGUGUUGUGGACCAACUUGCCUCCCUUGAUCCCUUCCAUGCACAUUCCCGAGGCUAAUUAUAUAGUACUGAUAUAUUUAUAUGUACUCACCCUUUCUUUAAUAUUAAUUUCAAUUAAUAAACAAUUAUUACGUAUAGAAAUUUAUAAGUUAUCCAGUUCCAACAUCCACGUAAUCAAAUCCCACGCGCACUCUCAGUGGCGCGAGCUAGCGGCUUCCCCUCUUCCAAACGCCAAAGAUAAGGUCCCACGUCAUGAAUCCCUCCUCACGCGCCAAACAACUCUUGGAAAAUCGUCCAAGCCACUGCUUCCUUACAGAUAAAGCAAGCACUCUCCUCUCUGUUUCAUCUUUAAUUUCCCAGCUCUUCUCUUUCAAUUUUUCCUGGCAACCAAACAAACUAACCGACUCAUCAAUUCUGCACCAAUCGAAGUUGUUCCCAGUGUUCAUCACAGUUAUCGGAUUCCCACUUCUCCCCUUCCCGGAUUUUUGGCAGCUGAUACUUAUUUCGCCCUUUGGUUUUUUUCCGAAGAAAGAAAUUAAAGAUUUUGUUAUAGGAAGAUGAUGAGAAGGCAGCAGCAGCAGCAUCAAGAUCAGUACUCCCGCGUUUUCUUCGAGCUAUCAACUCUGGUCUUCAACUUGCUCCGUUCGCCACCGACGACGAUUCCCUUCGCCGACCAGUUGGAGGCUACUGCGCCGCCGUCCGCCGUUUCCCCUUCUCCUUCUUCUUCGAGAAUUAGGAGAUCGCAGGCGGCGCAGAUUACGCCGGCGGGAUUCGCUUCGCUGCUAUUGGGGGUGUCUCUGACGAUGAUGCUGUGUGGAUCCGUGACUUUCUUUAUCGGGUUCAUGCUGAUGCCGUGGGUUCUUGGACUUGUAAUGGUGUUCUACGUCGCUGGGAUUGUGUCAAUGAUCUCCAUGUUAGGGCGUUCGCUUUUUUGUUACGCCACCGGACCUCCUCCUCCUCUUCAUCAUCAUACAAAGGAAGUUCCCGGUAAGAAUCAUCCUAUCCAUUCAAUUCCUCUGGUUUAAGUUCAAGUUCUAUUUCUUUCCUAGAGUAUCUGGAUAGGUUGAUUUACAUUUGAAAUCAGUAUUUUGGAAAAGGAAUUUGAAAACUAAAUUGAAAUUUGAAAUACCUAUUGCAAAUCGCCAAAUCCGCGGAUCAUUUGGAAUUCCUCAGUAUUCUUUCUCAAGUUCCGCUUAAGGCUAAGUCGAUCCAUCGCCAUUAUUUUCGUUUCUUACGACAUAGCUGAAAUCCAACCUCUCGACAGAACCCAUAAGAUUUGAGCUCGAUCUGAUGUAUCUUGUCUAGUACUGGUACCGUUACAUUACUCAAAGAGCAUCAUUUGCCUAGUUAUGGAGGUGUAAUGGGCAUAAUUUGUCAGUAUUCCAAUCCUCUCUGACAUUCGAGUUUCUUCGGUGGAGUUGGGCGGUGCCAUAUUAUGCUAUCUUUUUGUUGCCGGGUUGUUAGUAGUUAGCUGAACUGAUCUGAUUGAUUUUUCUGCUGGAAUGAAUGAUGUAUGCGUAAAGAUUGAAGAUCACACGCUCAAGUUGAGGCAUGUAAAAAAUUGCGGCUAACUGUGCAUUUCCUUUCCCAUUAUUACUGUUAUUUUGUCUGGCUAAUCAAAGAAAAAAUAACCAAACAAUGACCAUUCUGCUUGCUUUGAAUCCUAUGCAGCCUGGAAACUCAUGUGAGAAGACAAGGGCUAGCUGCUGCAUAUUGAGCUGCAGUAAAAUGUCAUCAGAGUAUUGAUUACAUACAUACAGGGGGAAGUGGGAGAUGAGUGGUGGAUAUUAGUACUAGCUUUUUUAGCAAGCUAAGCUUCUCGAUCUAUGAAUGAAGGAGUAGAUAGUAUAGAGAAAGGAGGUUGUUUUAUUUUAUUUGGCCUUAUAAUGUAUGUACCGCGCCAAGAGUUCAUCCUUUCAAAUUAAAGUUGGGAUGUCUUCAAUCCCUUCUGAUCUACUUCAUUAAAAUUCAUACUCUAAUUUGCCCUGGUCUUUUAUCUUCUUGCUGUACCACUUAAGUUCAUGGAGGAGUCGGUUCUGGAUAUGCUUGUGAAUUGGGGAUAGAAUCAGAUACCAAAAAAUUGAAUCAGGAUGCAGCAGGAUAAGGGUAACUCUGUUUCUUUUGCAGAAAGUAUAAACUUCACUGCAACAUGAAGAAAGUAAUAUUAUUUAUAAAUAUGUGGAUAGGUGUCUGUAACAUGGCUAUCACAAAACGCCAGAGACAAAUUGUAUUAUUUUAUAACCUAUUUGAAUAUGAGAAUGUGAGUAGGAGCCUUGUUUACCAUAUGACGUUGUCGGUCGUUAACCAAAGAGCUAGCUGGUCCAUGUAUGGUUUGUUUGUUUUGGGGAAAACGUCAUUGUCGGGUUACAGAAUUGAGCUGGACUGGGAAUUUGGGGUUGGUUUGGUUUUGAGUGCAUGAACCUAACUAGUCAGAGUCUGAAUCCAGUAGAACUCAGCAACCAAUGAAUAUAUGGGACUGGGGGUAUAGACUGGUUCAGAAGUGCAGACUCGUUCAAGAAAGACAGUCUUAUCACCUCCUCCGGGUUCUGUGGACUUGGUGAGAGCUUACCCUUUUUCUCUUUUCAGCAGUCUACGUGGCGGGAAAGUAGUAGUAGUAGGGGGUUUUUAUCGGCUGGUAAAACGUGGCAUAGUGGAUGUUUAUCUUGAUGAACUCUGCACUUUCCACGUCUCGACGUUUGAGUGCGAGAGGAUGGCGGGGCCUUGAGUUUAAUGGGGAAUUGUUUUGUUGCCCAACUUGCUUGCGGAAGCCACCAAAAUAAUAUUUGGAAAAGGAUAUCAUGUCAAGUUUGUUGAAUCGAUGGCCCCCUUUCUACAUUGAUCGGAAGUAGCCCACAAGUCAAGUAACACAUUUCACAUCUUUUGACUGACCACCAGUGUUAAAGCGGAAUUAUUGAUAGAAUUGGAUGAAAAAUGUGAUAGAAAGAUACAAUCGGUUAAUUAACUAGUUAUAUAAAUGAAUCGAUAAUUUAAUUAUACAAAGGAGUGAUUCAUACUCUACCUAAGUAUAGUGGGGGAAACAAUAAUCUUUUUUUAUAAUUUUAUUAAAUUUUACAAAUGAUAAUAUCUAUGAAUAUUUGAAUAUCACUACAAACUUGAAAAUGAAUAUGAAUAUAAUAUUCGAACAGUAAUAGAAAUAGAAAUUGAGAUAGAGAUUUGUUUAUGUAUAUGUAGCCGCCCAGUGAUCAUUCAUGCCUAUCUUAUUAUAGUUUCUCUCAAGUAUUACGAAUUUACAACAAUCAUAUAUAGACUAAAAUUAUUAUAAUAUAGGUUGGGUGUUUUCUCUAACCAUAUUUUUUGUGUAAACUCUGGUAUUUGAUAUAUUGAUCGGUUAAUUCAGUCGAGAAAUAAUUUCGGAAUUAAAAUUUUAUUUAUUUCUCAUUGUUGUUACGAAAGAUCAAAACUAGAUUUAUCCUUAUCGAUGCAACUCUUACCAUCACUACACUAUUGUCUCUUUGGUUUCUCCAACCAUAUAAUAAUAUAAUUAAUUAUUAUAUAUGAAUUGACUUGAGGGUAGGGCCGACGAAUGUCCUUAACGGGCCGAGAACUUAAGUUCGAUUACUCAUUGGGCUAAAAGAUAAUGGGCUCAGCUUACCCACUCACUCACAAACCAAAUAAUCACCCUCUAAUAGUAACACGGCAGUACUUUGGUGUGGGGGAUUUUGGAUGGUACAGCACGUGCCUAAAAAAAAGAAAUGAAGAAUUAGUAUCGGUUACUUCAUUUCAUNNUUCAUUUCAUGUUCAAUCGAUGCGAAAGCAGCUUUAAAUUCAGACAAAAAAAGAUUUAAAAUUUUUAAAUUUUUGAUCGGGGGACAUUUUCGGUAUUUAAAAAAUAUUAUUUAUUUAUUUAUAUUUUAUUUUCACUUUUCACAGUUUUGAUUUUUGAUAGAUUAAAUCUCUUCAUAUUUCACAAACUAUUAUAAGAAUAUUUUUUUAACAUCAUACUUUUCAUUAUAAGUUAGGUGUCAUGUAUUAUUGAAACUUAAUCCAAUUGUCAACUAACAAAAUUUUCAAUAAAAUAUAUGCCACUUCAUUCGUGAGAAUUUGCUGAGUCAGCCAUUUACUUACAUGACAGUUGCUAACGUGAAAAUUAAAAGAAAUAAAUAAAUAAAUAUUUAUUUUGACCCUCUCACCUCAUCUCACCCUCUACCCAUUUCACCCUCUCACUUCACCCUCUCACCUCAUCGAGAUUCCUCCAACUGGUCAUCAUCUCCUUCCCUUUCCCAAGAUUCAUCAUCCACCGAGUCGGAGAGUGACGAUAACAUUGUCGAGUUGACUCGCCAGAUGGCUCAGUACAUGCUCCAGGAUUUCGACGACCCUUCUCAAAAUACGCCCCAUCCAAUCCAGGAAGAGGCGGGUGAUGAUAUGAAGCAACGGGAAAAAUCGACACUUGAUCAAAAUCAAGUUCACCCUGUUUCCGAGUUCCAGAAUUCGCUCUGUUCAGGUGAGUCAAAUUAAAUUACUGCCUACUUUGUGGAAUAUUUUAGUCAACAGUUCUUGAAAUUGAUUUACUUCGUGAAUUUUCCAACAGCUCAAUAGGCAGGUGAAACAGAGGAAAGAACAGAGUUUUGGUCAACGGGUUUGCCGCCGGUCAACAACACCGACAACAACAAGGGAAAGAAACCGUCAUGGUGGUUGCAACAGCAGAGCAUACGAAGCGGCGGCGGCAGAUUUCUGGAGGUGAUGAGGGCUGUUUUCCUAGGCGAUUCCGGUAAAGCUUCGACAACCGGGACCAGCGUGUUCUUGCCGAGGGUGGCCGGGAACAGUACUACUACCACCACUGCACCUUCCGUUAAAUCACGGAAGAAACCAGGUAAUUGAAUUGAGAAGUGCACUAAGUGACGGUGGUCGUUGGAAUCUGGUGCCAGCAGCUUUUUUCCUCGGUUGCUUCUCGUAGUCGUAGAUUCCUUAUCUGCUCAACCACUAAACCGGUUGACUGACCAAUUAAUUAAAUUACAUAGGACGUACUAAUCUCAAUGACUUUGAAAACGCAGGAUAUUCCACUGUUUUGUUGGUGAGAGUGGUCCAGGCUUUGUAUUAUUACCCUCUUCCAAUUUCGUUUCCCAGUGAAGAAGGAGAAGAGGAGAAUGGUAAGGAAAUAGUUGGUGAGAGUGAGAGAGGCGGAGAGAGAAAAGCGGGCUUAGGAGAUGCCGCUGCCGGCGGAGGAAUGGAAGACGGAAGGCGGUGGUGGCUUUGGUCGCAUCGCCGCUAAGGAAUUGACGGGAUUGAGUUUGGAGUUUUUAGUGCAAGUGAGGGCGAGAGGAGGAGAGAUCUAUGGGAGGGCAAUCGAUGAGGUGAGAGGGUGAAGUGAAAGGGUGAAAUGGGUAGAGGGUGAGAUGAGGUGAGGUGGUCAAAAUAAUUAAUUUCUUUUUAAUUUUCACGUUGGCAACUGUCACUUAAGCAAAUUGCUGAUUGAGCAAAUUCCGCCGACUAUGUGACAUUUUUUCACCAGAAAUUGACAAUUGGGGUUAAAUUAUAAUUAUAUAUGACACUCAAUUUAUAGUAAAAAUAUAAUACUAAAAAUAUAUUUUUCACAAUAAUUUGUAAUAUAUUUGGAGAUUUAGCCUUUUAUAAUUUAAAUUUAAAAUUUAAAAUUCAAAACUUAAUACAGUAAACUUAAAAAUUUAAAAUUUAAAAUAUUAUAUUUUAGACAUUAAAUCUAAAAAUAUCAAAAUUUAAAAUUCAAACUAAAAUUUUAAUACUAAACCCAAAUCAAACACUAAACCGGAACUCAUAUCAAAAUAAAUAGUAAAUUAAAAAUUUUUAUUAAAAAAGUUUUCAUAUCCUUUUUAUACAAUCUUUGAAAUCUAACAAUUUUGUCCUGAAAAUACUAAAAUCCUUUUUCACCUUGAUUUCAAACAUACUUCAAUAGUGCCGAUGUGUUCAUCAUUUUUCAACAUGAAUUAAUGGAUGUCGUUGUUGUUCUGGACGUGAGCCUCACUCAUACUCUGGUUUCUGAACAAGCUAGCGCAUAACCAAACUUGGAUCAUUGACAAUCGACCGACAAGACACAACUAAUUAAUCAGCCAUCCCAACCUUAACUUCAUUAACAAAUUCGAAAAAACGACAACAGUAUGCAUGCGAUUAACUAAAGACUGAAGUAACUGAACCCAACCAGCUGACAGAAAAAAAAAAGCAAAACCCAACACAGUUUCUCUGUUUACAUAACCAAAAUCAACAAGAACCACACAAAUACAUCCAAACUUAUAAGCCAAAAGCAAAAGAAAAGAAGGGAGUAGUGAUCAUCCAGUGUUGAUAUGGACUCCAAUGGCGAUCAAGAAGAUGGUGAUGAGUCCAAAGAAAAUGAUGGUGUGGACUAAUAUGGACAUCCCACUGGUGUGCAUCUUCCCAAACUCAACCACUCUGUCUCUCCCAGGUAGCUGGAACAACAACCCUGGAGUCAACAGUACGAACAGCACCACCGCUAUCACUACCGGCCCCCAAUCCGCCAUUGAAACGAAAUUCCAGCUCUGCCUUACAAUACCGUAAACCAGGUGUACGCUCACAUUUUAUAGAGAAGAAAGAAGCGUAUGUCGAUUUGUGGAAGAAAAGAAUCUUAAAACAUUUUGGUUAAGUUAAAGAAAACCGAAAGGGGGUGCCCCCUUAAUUAGUCUAGUAUUUUAUGAUUACGUGAUAAACUAGAAGAAGAUAUAUAGCUUUAACACUCAGCUUCCUAUCAACACUUGGCACAUAUCAGGUCGGCUAGCUUGUUUAUCUUUUCUUAUUCAAGCUAGCGAUGAUGCUACGUGUUGAAUAUAACAUGCUACAUAUCUGGUUUCUGUUGCUUUUGUUCUUGUCAUGUUGGGGACACAUAACCUUAUCCAAUUCAUACUUUGGGGCAUUUGAUUGCUUAUGCUCACAGCUUCAACUACUUCACUGAAAUUGCUGUACAAACCUUAGUUAGUUAGCUAUCAAUCUAACAUCCGUCUGUAAUGAGUCCUAGUCUGAAUCGAGCAGUUCAUGAACAAUGAACUCGUAUAGAGAGUAGUGCCUCAAGAGGAAGUUUUUGCUAUUCUUGUAUGAUGUUCGUGUAUUGCUCUUGCAACUUUCAAUAGUGGAACAAGAUGGGCAGAAAUUUUGGGUACGGAGAAAAAUUUGAAAAACACAUCAGAAAAGAAUUCAAUUUGAAAUUUUUGUGCAAGUUUCAUCCUUUUAGAACCAAAGAAAACAUCCUAAGUGGUGGUCUAGAUUCAUCCGCCGCUUGAUUUCACCAAAGGCAGCUAGCUUUGUUAACCGUGCUACUCUUUUGACGGGUUCAAAAGUUUGUUUGGGCAUCGAUUGAGCACCAAUUCCAAGUUUAACAGGUACACUUCCAAUGCUUUUCGAGCUUAUUAGAAAAAACUAACUUUAACAUGACCCCAAAAUGCAGAGUAGAAUCUUGCAGCAGAAUGAAUGGUUUAUUCAUAUAAUAAGAAUCAAUAAGCAGAUCAGUCCAUCACAUUACAAAAUAUGUUCCUUGAAUCACUGAUUUCAGAACCAAAAAUACAAAGCAAAAGCAAACCAGCUGGAGUUGAUAAUCCAGUUACAGAUAAGAAAUGAAAAAGGAGUGGUAAUAGUGUCAGUUUUAACCAAGAUAAAAAUGAACCUUAAUAGCAAGCAAGAAGACGCAGACGAGGGCAAAGUAGAGAAGUGAAUGGAUGAGAAUGGCGGCGCCACUUGUCUGGAAAUUCCCAAACUCGAUGCAGCGGUUUCGACCUGGCACCUGAAACAACAGCCCUGGUGUUAACAGCACGAACAGCACCAUCGCCACAAACACUGGGCCCCAGUCCGACAUUUUCUCGCUUUGAGACGUAGACACAACUAGUUAACUGAAUGGAAGAAUGGAUGGUUUGGUUGGUUGGUUGGAAUGCAGAUAUGAGGAGGGUCUUUAUACAGAACAGAAAGGAUGAUAAAUUAAUAUCAGAAAAGACAUUGAACAAAGAUAACAUCACUGGACAAGCAAAGCAAAUCCAGAGUGUGUGGUGUUAUGGGGCGGCUGGCUUUGAAGUUGGAAGAUUGAAUGAACAAGUCACUCUGGAUUCUGUGGCGUCUUGGCACGUGACUGCUAUGCACCAAGAAAUCUUCUUUUAUGAACUUCAGAGGCUAAUGGUCCAGCUAUUGUUCCUCGCGGUGACUAUGUCGCAUCCAUAUGAUAUGAGCAAGUUCACCGAUAAGUUAUUAAUAAUUACAAAAUGGCAAAUUAUGUCGUACAAAUAGUACGUACCUUAAUGGUAUACGAUGUAAAAUUUAAACUAUAAUGACAGAUGUAGUACAUUCACCCUUUGUUAUAGUGACUUGAGCUACAUUUUACCCAAAAUUUACUCAUAAUAAUUUUAGUCAAUAGAAUUGAUAAACACCCUACAAAAAUAAUCUUGUUUUAGAUGGGCUUAAGGAUAGCAUUAUGGUCAGAUAGCAUAAACGAACUAAUCCAACCUCAAAUUGCAAUUCACAGUUAAGAGCAUCUGGUUGGGCCCACAAUUCGUAAAAUCGGCUGAGGCCCACAUACCAUCUGACGAAGCACCGCAAGAACCGGUAAUUAUACAUGACACGACACCGCUUAACAAGGUCAACUUCCAUUUCGGAACCGGGAGCCACCAAGACAACGGACAUGUGGCCACGUGUCUAUCUCGAAUUCGAUGAACUUUGUGGUGGUUCCCCCGAAAAUGACCACCACCUCCUCGUCUAUUCUGCAGUUUCUACGCUUUCCCCCCUUUGGCAACUUGGUCUCCACCCCCUUUCGAAAUCGUCGAUGCUGCCCCAGCCAGCCAUCGAUUCGUUGAUUAAGCAAAGCACUGCAUGAUUUAAGAAGAAGAAGAAGAAGAAGGGUCGGACGAACGACAUCAAUGGAAUCGACUCAAAAGCUGCAGUUCCUCACUGAAGAAAUCCAGAGGCUUAUAGAAGAGAAGAAGAACCAAGAAGAAGCAGAAGCCUUCGGGGCCGCCGAUGGAAAUUCCAUCCCUCUUGACCACACAGAUCGCCCUACCCUCUCCAGAUUACUCUCCGAGGUAAUCACAUAAAAAAUUUAACGUACUCGAUUCUUGAUUGAUAUAUGUUCGUAGAUGCGGCUCACUCUGCAAAACACAUGAUUGUCAGCUGGAAUCGUUGAAAGGAGACGGCACGCUGAAGCAGCAGUCCGGAUCAUCAUCGUCGGAGACGAGCUCGCCUCACUGCGUCGGAGAAUCCAAGCCAGGAAUCCGAAAAGCACAGACAACGGGCAAGGAAGUGAUCGAUGCGGAAGAGAUUAGGAAGGAGAUUAAGAAGGUGAAGAUGCAGAAUUUCAUAACGCACUGCCUCCUCUCUGCCUUGAUUGUGGUCACUGUAGCUUGGCAAGUCUCGGAGGUCUCUCUGGCUCUGUCGAUCAAGGACAAACUGAGCCACCCUGUGAGAUCCUUGGCCAGCGCUAUCUUUGGAGGGGGGAGAAAUCAAGGUCACGACAGAGAUGGAGACCAAGAGAGGAAAGAUUCUGGUGCAGAAGCCAGUAAUGGUUCAACUAUGAUGAUGCCGGGGCUUCCUCAAGUAGACUUCGGCUUUAAUAGUGAUGACCGCUCUUAGCAGAGCUUUUCACGAGUGCAGUAAUUUAUUAUGUAGGAUACAGCUUUUCCAUUUGUAGUCUGCUUCUCUGAAUUAAGACAAAGACUCAAUUUUUGUCGCUCUUCAGGAAAGAAAUAUGAACCAGGACCUUUCAUCCAAUGUGCAUUGCCAUUAAACAAUCUGAAGCUAACCAGCGAUACAGAGUUUGAAUUUUCAAAUAUUCAGUACCCAAUUCUUGAAUUUGAAACAGUAGUGUCAGGGGGAAUCUUCCAACCAUUCAUACAAUCGACUCGACACACUGCAAUGUCUUCUACCUUCGGAGACAACAAAGAGUAAAGGAGAAUCAAACAUAAACACAAAAUCCCAGACCCCAUUCGAAUGUCAACAACUAAAUAGAAACAAGCAAACUGAUUUUAAACCCCUGGAGAUUCAGGUUUACAUAAGACAAGUUCUUUCUUCAAUCUGAUCCUGCUCAGGCAUAGUUCAACCGGAAAAUGUCAUUGAACACAUAGAAGCUUCCUUGUGGAGUUGGCAUCAAAUGGAACAUCUGCAAAACCGAGGCCGAGAGGAAGUAGAAGA